rnacentral:lncRNA from 1 species
UGAAGCAUUAGUAAAAGGAUGUAAAUCCAAGAACAUCUCCAUCUCUUAUUCAGUCAAGUCUAUAUCUUCUAUCAUGUUAUAAUGACCUGAUCCCCUCUUCAUGAAGUCCUCUGCAGAAAUCUGCUCAAAGGCAUCAAUAUCCGUCGGAACUGGAUCAGACAAAAAAGCUUUCUUCUUUAAAAGCUCCAUCAGAUGAGCACGGAUAAUUAAACCAUACAGAAAGGGGGACUCUGAAUGUGGAGGUUCAUCAAUUACAGGAAACCCGUUGUGCCUUGUAGUUCGCAACACAGGUACCACAUUAGCGACCUUCUCGAUGCCAUGAAACAGCUGAAGGGGCCCACUCACUACUUCACCAACUGUUAAUUGUCUCAUAUAUGGCUCGGCAUGGGUCUCAAGGUAAGGAAAGCCCUUUGCUUUCCUGAUAAGGUCAUAGAUGUUGCCGUUGAAAGCAUCAGCUACGGUCUUUGAAAUAAGAAGAACCACCAUCAUCAAGGGUAGCAACAGCAGAUUGUUCGUCAGUUCCAAAAGGAUUACACAUAGAGAAACCGUCAUCCUCAUAGAUCCACCAAGAAAAGAAGCAGCACCCAGCACAGCAAAAAGACCAUGGUCAAGAUGGGAAUGAGAACCAAUCAACAUUCCAACCAAACGCCCAUAAGAUGCACCAGUAACUAUUACAGGAACGAAAAGGCCAGCAGGAGCGACAAUGCCAUAGCUAAGUAUACUCAAGAAAUAACAUGGGACAAAGAAUAUAAUUAUAGAAGAGUACUGGAACUCGUCAUCCGUGCCCUUGCUAAAGAGAUUUUGAAGUCGUGUUAUGUAACCUGACCUUGAUCAGAGCUUUAGUUCCAGCCUCCGAUGAAUCCUUCCUUCCAUUUGAAAGAGGGAUCUUCUUUUUCCAGCAAAUUCCAUCGCCGAAAAUGGCGACUGCACAAAAACAAUCAGCCAAGCAAGCCUCUCUGCACCAGUCCUCGGUUUGUGCCGUGCUACGCUCAUAAUCAGACUCUGGCCAGUUUGUAUUGGGCAUUUCACACAAAUCGAAUUGGUCUGUUUCACGCCUACUUCCGUUACAAUUCUGUGGUGCAAAGUCCUGUAUGCAUCCGUUCAUCUCGUUUGUUGAAUCUAACAAAGUAUAUCCAGGUGGGCAUUGGCAUCGAGGCCUCAGAUCAUCUCCAAGAGUACAGUAGCUGUUGAAGCCACAAGCUCCACUGCCAAUCUGUUGGGCGAUGCUCAUGCAUAAAUUUUGUGGGACUGGGGCAGAGACCCUCGACCAGCCAAUAAGCUGGCCAGAACUUGAAUUUGUCGUCUUAGGGUGGAUAUAUUGCCUGAAUACCCCGUCGUAUUCAAGGAUCGCUCUUUGGUAAUAUCCGCUGGAUGGAACUGGUUCUGUGGUGAUACGGUUGAUCACUGUUCCAUUCCUAGCCGUGAGGUAGACCUGACCACUUUGAUUGAAUAUCAGCUGGAAGCCGCUACCUACGGUAUUGCUGCGCCAGUAGGUAUCUGAGGCAUCAUACGGGUUAGAAGUGGCAUAGAAUGCGAGAUUUCCAUCAUCUCCUAGCAUGAAGUGGAAUCUCCCGGCAGAGCAAUUCAUUUUGGAGUAGCGAGCGUUGACUUUAGUCCCAAGAUCUAACCGCUGCGUAGGCAGUAUCGUAUCCGUCGGUUGGCUGAACGAAUCCCACAACUUGACGUGGCUCGCACUCGAUAGGAUGAAGUUUCCCGUGUCGAGCAUGGCCGCAUACGCUAAGCCAGUGUCGUUCAGGCCCGAAGACCACAGCUCUCUCUCUCUCGGGUCGGUAAGCACCAGACCGCGGUUGGCAGUCAACUAGACUUUCGAACCUUCGGGCGCUAGAUUAUCGUCAUUCGCCGACCAGACUAUGGUCUUGUUCUCUAUCUUCUCGAACCAUAUAGACAACAAAUAAGCUCCUGCUCCCACUCUCCGGAAGCCAAAGGCAAACUCACCCGGUGGCGAUGACCAGGAAGAGUUCUGGUUGUUCGCCGUCAACGAGUUCCCAAGGUCAAGUUGCCGCCGAACUGAGCUUCGGUGGAAGGGGGAAGUGGAACGAGUACGAGAAGGAUUCCUAGUAUAACUGAAGCCAUGUUUGAUGAAACAGGCGUGCUCCUUGAGUUGAGCUACUUCGGCCUUAAGGAUGAAACCGACGUUCUUAUAGAGAUUUUUCCACUUUUCCAUGCCACCAGAGUCUCUCGCGUACGUCCGGUCGUUCAUGGCAGGUGAGAGAGGCGACCAUUCCUCCUCCGCGUAGAUGCAAUUACUCCUCCUUUUCUCCACAGCGAGUUUGAACCAAAGUUGUGGACAGCCUUUGCCCAUAUAUCUAUCACUAUGUUUGACCAAAAAAAAAACACAUAUUUCUAUCUAGAAUAAUAAUUUUGCCAGAUGGUCUGAAGUUUUAUAAAAGCUCCACCUGUAGUAAAAGGAAAUUAUUAAUUAAAAUAGAAGGUGAUAUUUGUACAUAUAUUUUAUUAGUCAAUCUUUUUUUUUUUGUAAUAAACCAUUUAUUUAGCAGCAAUUAAUAAACCAUUUUAGAGUAUAUAAUGGGUUACUUGAUUUUUUUCUUUUAUCUUGAAGUAUCUUAUUAGUUCUAUUGAUAUAUCCAUCAAAUUUUCUUAAACAAUUCUUAUAAUAAUAUCAUCGAUAUUAAUUUUUCUGAUAAUAAUGUCUCUGUGAAUUUAUCUUUCUUCAUUUUCUUUAUUUUUUCCCCUUUUUUUCUUAUAGAAAUCAAUGGUUAAAGAGAACUUGUCAAAUUUAGAAUAAGGCGACCUUGCUCCAGAAGCUUGGCGGGACCUUGAUACUUUUCAAAGAACACACUUGGAAAAAUUCGAUCGAACUUCGUCGUACAUGUUUGUUGGAGACUUUUUAAGAUGAAAUUGAUGGAAAAAGAAGGCAGGGCCAGCAGUUGAUUCAAUCCCCAUGAAUUCAAACCGACUACAAGUUGCUCCGUGGAAAUUGAACGUGCUCGAACACACGUGGAAAUUUUCAUCAAGCAUGCAACCGAUGGAUGCUUUCCACGGCGACGUUGUGAGGUCUUGUGCAAUUUGGAGAGGAAUGGUUACAAUGAUGAACGAACAUAAUUCUGCAGACACUCUACAAAAGUUUACAUCCAGGAAUUCCAAGUUUCAAAACCGACAUGUUUGGUUAAAUGGAUGUCGCGAUGACAUAAAGAUAUCAUGCUCGUGGAGUUUACGACAUCAUACAAUACUUACCACAUCUAAAAAGCAAUUUGGUUUCCAUUUAAUAUAAUUGAUCAGUUCACAAAGAGGGAGUGGCCUUGUAUAUAAAUUACCGCAAAAGAGGUAACUAUCUACAGUUUUCUACACAUCUUUGAUCUUACUGUCGAGACUCCUCUGCAUCUUUAGCGUCUCAGUCAUGGCAAAAGUAUUUCCGUGCCACCAUGAUAAUGCCAGCCAAAACUUCCUGUUCAUACAAUCGUCCCAAAAAUAAAUUACAACCUGCCGCUUUCCACAAUGCUCAACUAGUAAGAGGAAGUGCUAAUUUUCCAGGGUUUUUAGGGUCCGAUCAGGGCCUGACCUUAUAAUUAGGAGCUUCCAAUAAGCUCCAGCCUGCAUGAAUCCCACAUAAUCUGGCCUGAUUGAGUAGGAACUUUCCUGGAAAAAUUCCUGAAUGCUCGACUGGUUAUGCUAAAAUAGUUAUAAUAGGCAGGGAAACUGUAGUCUUAAUCUCUUCCAUCUGCUCCUAAUGAGGAUCGGGUGCAAUGCCAACACGUGCUCGGGCAUAAAAUCAUGUCUUGUUAAUAUGGCCACCACAGGCAAGAUUAAAAUGAAUACCUAAAAGAACAUGUUGAACCAGAGCAAAAUGCUAUUCGCACCCGGUGGCACAGAAGUAUCACACCAAACACCCACAAGAGACGAGAAGAAAAAUCAAUUGUGAUCCCCCACCAUGAUCUACUCUGAUUUUUUACUGAAACUAGGAAGCUAAUGUCAAGUAGCUGCAUGUGCAGAAAUUCAGCUAAACGGAGAGGAGAACAUCCUAGUGCAAAGCUCUUUUACCAAAAAAAAAAAAAACAUCCUAGUGCAAAGCUGAGCUAGUGAAGCUACAUAAGCAAUUGGCACACCACAAUCCCUUUCACGGGGUUAAACUUGAACAUAUGAAAGAUAAUCGAGUAAUAUAAGAAAAUCAAGCUCGUGAGGCCAAAGGAGGAUGGUGUUAAUGUAAUUCUGAAAAAUGUCCCAAUUCGCUAAAAAAAAGAAAGCAUCGGUGUCUUUAAUAGGCUUUGUUAGUGUUAAAAUUAUGUCUUCGAGUUUGAGCCCAAUACGAGAUUUGAUGCACACGAGGAGCAUUUGUUGAUUAAAGUUCGGCGCAAAUUGAUAAGCGCAAAUGGACAAUGAAGAAGCAAAGCAUGAAGGCCUUCUGCACGCAUAGAUUUGUCAAAGAUGUGCACGUCUCCCAAGUCCAUUUUUCUACCUCUUUAAUUGCAUGCACAUGGACGUGCAUGCAUGGUGAAUGGGACGUGGAAGACUAAAGCCAAUUGUGGGCUUGUUUUGUAUUCUUUCUUUAAUUCUUUGCUUCUUAUUUUAUUCAGCUGCAGACAACCAAAUGAAAGAAAGGAUAAAAUAUUACUUGAAGGAGUUCAACGUCGUGGAGAUGGUCUUGGAAGAUGGCGGCCAUCCUUAUUUUAUGCUUAGAUUAUGGGCGCAUGUUUUCUGCCUUAUUAAAUGCGUCCCAUGCAUGCAUGCGUGCCCGUGAAUUUUGGUGGGCGUCAGUGCUGAUUGCGAGCGCCUGAAUGGCUUCACAUUUUCUGUCUUGUUUCGCCCUUAAAAGGCAGAGGAGCGAAGGAGAAGUUGGCGCUGAGUUGUUUCAAUGGCUAAGACAGAGCUGAAGAGAGAAGUCGUGAGGCUUCAUAAGCUCUCGGCAGAGAGAAAUUUUCUCGUUGAAAUUACAUCCGGGUAUUUUAGUCAGUUAAAUUAUUGUGAGUAGAAUUUGUUUAAUUCCUUGAGUGAGGUUACACUAGGAAUUGUGAGGGGCUAAACACUGUGUGAGUUAUUUAAAUGUAAUUUGGAGUUGGGAAACACUGAGAGUGUGUUUAAGUACUCGAGUGAUUGUAAUCUCCGGUGUAUCGCUUGUUUCUAUAGUGGAAUUACGUACUACUCUCCUCGUGGACGUAGGUUCCGAUAUUCGGACCAAAUCACAUAAAUCCGAUGUCUGAUUUCCUUUCCUUCAUUCCGACUAUUUUAUCCAAUUCGCUUGGUCUAUAUUCCGCCCGCGCAACAACAAGUGGUAUCAGAGCCUGGUUUGGCUGACGUGAAGCGAAUCGGUGACUAUGGAAGAAGGAAAGGUGAGAAUCGACCGAUUUGAUGGGAAAGAUUUUGCUUUCUGGAAGAUGCAGAUUGAAGAUUGUCUAUACCAGAGAAAUUUGCACUUGCCCUUAUCUGGGGAGAAACCAGACUCGAUGAAGGAUGCCGAGUGGGAAUUGCUGGAUAGACAAGCGAUGGGUGUUAUUCAGCUAACGUUGGCUCAUAACGUCGCAUUUAACAUCUUGAAGGAGAAAACCACUGCGAGACUAAUGAAAGCCCUGUCGAAUAUGUAUGAGAAACCCUCUGCGAUUAAUAAGAUCUAUUUGAUGCGACAUCUGUUUCACUUAAAGAUGGGCGAAGGUACGUCAGUAGUUGAACAUAUCAAUGAAUUCAAUGAGGUCAUUAACCUAUUGAGUUCGGUUGAGAUUAACUUUGAAGAUGAGGUACAUGCGUUGAUUUUAUUAUCCUCAUUGCCUGAUAGUUGGAAUACUACUGUUACUACCAUUAGUAAUUCCUCUGGGUCAAGAAGUUUGACGUUUGAUGAGGUUCGUGAUUUGAUUCUGAGUGAAGACAUUCGUAGGAAAGAAUCUGGUAAACUCGUGUCUAUUGCUUUAGUAGGUGAAAAUAGAUGAAGAACUAGCACACGUGUUAGCAGGAACAUGAACAAACGAAGUCAAUCUAAGACUGGUAGGAUAGUCUGUUGGAAUUGUGGCAAUAGUGGGCAUCGUAGAAGAGACUGUUUUAAGCUGAAAAAUGAAAAGGGUAAGGGAAUUAGAGUUGAGUCUACAAAAAAUGUUGCAGCUAUAGCUGAGAAUGAUUCUGAUGGUGUUGAUUGUGUCUUGUCUGUCACUGAGGAUUCGUCAUUUGACGGAUGUAUAAUGGAUUAUGGUUGUUCAUUUCACGUUACACCAAAUAGGAACUGGUUUAUCACUUAUCAUUGCACGGGUAGUGGUAAAGUCCAGUUAGGGAACAACGCUGAGUGCGAUAUUGUGGGUGUUGGUGAUAUUAAAAUUAGAAUGCAUGAUGGUAUUAUGAGGACAUUGAUUGGAGUAAGACACGUUCUAGAAUUGAAAAAGAAUUUAAUUUCCUUGGGUGCACUAGAUUCAGCUGGUUGCAGGUAUUCUUCAGAAAGUGGAGUUUUGAAGGUUGUUCGAGGUGCCCUGGUGAUAUGAAAGGAAUCAAGCACGGAGGCCUGUAUAAACUUCAAGGUGAGACAAUGACAGGUUUCGCCUCGGAGACGUUUGAUGCAUCUGUUCGAGAGUCUUUUGACUGCUCGAAGAAGACCUGGGUGUUUGUGCCGAUGCAAAAGUUUGAUGCCGGUGUCAGAAUUACGUGGUCGAGAGUUGUGAUCGAGACGGAGACUAGCAAGUCGAUCAAGCAUGUGCAGACUGACAAUAGCAUGGAAUUCUACUCGGAGCUGGCAAAUAAAUUCUGCAUGAUAGAGGGCAUAGUGAAACACCGCACUAGUGCUAAUAAAUCACAACAAUUUGCAAAAUUAAUAAGCAGAACAUUACUAAAAACGGCCCGUAAAAUGAUCUUUAGUGCUGGUGUUGCUAGGAGAAUCCUAGUUGAUGUGCUUAGUAUGGUAAGCUACCUGGUGAAUAGAUUCCCAUCAAUUACUAUUGAAUGGCGGACUCCUGAAGAAGUGUGGUCAAGUAACGUUACUGAUUAUUCUAUUUUUAGAAUGUCUGGUUGCCCGUGUUAUUUUCGAGUGAGUGAUGAUAAGCUCGAUGGGAGGGCAAUGUGCAUAUUCCAUGGCUAUGCACAAGAUGAGUGGGGCGAUCAGUUGUGGUGCAUGGAUAUAAAUUCACCUGUUGACAGCAGAGAAGUUACCUUUGACAAGUCUCCAGUACUUCUGGAUAGGAGUGUUUGUGGCAGUGUUAAUACGGAUCUGGACGGUGUUCAGCUCAAGAUGGAGUUGCAACUAGAAACUCCUGAGGUAGCAGGUACUAGCAGAAUAAUUGACAUGAAUGAUGCUUGUAGCGAGGUGGAGCCGAUAGAGCGAACGGUUGUUGUAAUCGCUGAAUUUGACAAGGUGCGCGUUCGCCCUUCUGUCAGAUAUAGAAGCAAUGAUGGUUUUGCUUUAUCUGUGAUACAUGAGGUUAUGUCGGAAAAUCCUUGUGGAAUAGCUAACUAUGCAGGUGGAGUUGGUGUCUUGAUGAGGUCCACGGUUAUGGGAAAGUUACAGCGCGGCUUGAACUUGGAAGCACUCUGUGGCGGUUGAGCCCGUUGGGGCUAUGGGAGAGUAGUAGCGAGGUGUCCACUAAAGCGAUUAUGAUUUGGCUCAAAUGUCGAGCCAAGAUGGAGAUUGUUAAAAUUAUGUCUUUGAGUUUGAGCCUAAUACGAGAUUUGAUGCACACGAGGAGCAUUUGUUGAUCAAAGUUCGGUGCAAAUUGGUAAGCGCAAAUGGACAAUGAAGAAGCAAAGCAUGAAGGCCUUCUGCACGCAUAGAUUUGUCAAAGAUGUGCAUGUCUCCCAAGUCCAUUUUUCUACCUCUUUAAUUGCAUGCACAUGGACGUGCAUGCAUGGUGAAUGGACGUGGAAGACUAAAGCAAUUGUGGGCUUGUUUUGUCUUCUUUCUUUAACUCUUUGCUUCUUAUUUUAUUCAGCUGCAGACAACCAAAUGAAAGAAAGGAUAAAAUAUCACUUGAAGGAGUUCAACGUCGUGGAGAUGGUCUUGGAAGAUGGCGGCCAUCCUUAUUUUAUGCUUAGAUUAUGGGCGCAUGUUUUCUGCCUUAUUAAAUGCGUCCCAUGCAUGCAUGCGUGCCCAUGAAUUUUGGUGGGCGUCAGUGCUGAUUGCGAGCGCCUGAAUGGCUUCACAUUUUCUGUCUUGUUUCUCCCUUAAAAGGCAGAGGAGCGAAGGAGAAGUUGGCGCUGAGUUAAUUCGGUGGCCGAGAGAGAGCUGAAGAGAGAAGUCGUGAGGCUUUAGAAGCUCUCGGCAGAGAGAAAUUUUCUCGUUGAAAUUACACCUGGGUGUUUUAGUCAGUUAAAUUCUUGUGAGUAGAAUUUGUUUAAUUCCUUGAGUGAAGUUACACUAGAAAUUUUGAGGGGCUAAACACUGUGUGAGUUAUUUUGGUGUAAUUUGGGGCUGGAAAACACUGAGAGUGUGUUUGAGUACUCGAGUGAUUGUAAUCUCCGGUGUAUCGCUUGUUUCUAUAGUGGAAUUCCACGUAGGUUCCGAUAUUCUGAUCGAACUACGUAAAUCCGGUGUCCGAUUUCCUUUCCUUCAUUUCAACUAUUUUAUCCGAUUCGCUUGGUCUAUAUUCCGCCCGCGCAACAACAGUUAGCAUAGUGUUCUUUGGGUUAUUAUGAUAAUAACAACUUAUUAUAAAUCAUAAAUUCUUAAGGGAGUUGACAUCACAACAAUUCAUAAUUAUUUAUUAUUUGAUUUUUUGUGGUCUAAAACAAAUUGUUAUUCUUAUAAUACAUUAAAAACUAUAACCAAAUCAGUUACCUUUUUUUAAUAUAUCGUCGACUGCUCCAAUCACAAAGAAAAAAUCAAUUUUUCAAGUAAAGAAAGGACUAGAGGUAUCACUGAAUGAUGGUGUAGUACUCCAUUUAGAUUGGCAGUAAAGUAUUUCAAUGCCAAAUGACGAAAAGAGCAAUAGAACAGCUUUUGAUAGAUUUAAAGAAGUGAAAGUGAGAGCCUGCGCCAGCGAUUUUGGGUAUCACCAGUGGAUGUCUCAAGCCAACUUUCCUUUUAACCUUUUUUUUUUUUUCUAAAAGGCUAACCUAGCAACCUCAGAAGCACCUUUUUUAAAAAAAAAUAAUAAAAAAGUAAACAAUGUUGGUUUUUUUUUCAUUAACCAAAUCGCAUGGAAUUAAUAGUGAGACUUGAUUGAACUAAUUUGAUAAGUUUUAAAACUUGAUUACACUUUUGAAAAAUUUCAUAACUCGAUUGCACUUUUGUAAUAACUUUGGAACUUUUGGUGCACUUGUUCCAAAAAAAUAUUGAGCAUUUAGAACUUAUAGAGGAUCAAUGAAGUAUCAAAUCAAUAACUUAAUAAAAAAUCUUAUGGACACCCAUUGGGGCUAGGCAAGCUAGCACACUCAACUUUAAACUUCAAUUCAAUGCUUGUUAUGUGAUAAACGGACCGCAGCCAAAUGCUUUAGGACAGCAAGGUGAUGAAGAUUAGAGAUGGAUGAACUUGAAGGGAGCAUGGUUUACUCAUGGAUUGGGCUGGAUAGACAUGAUUUUUGUUUGGGAAUUCAUUGUCAAUUUUUCAUAAUGUUUCAUAAAAUUAGGGAUUUGAUUUUUUAAUCCUUAGCAAAAGAUAUGUGAAUUUACAUUAUCUAAUGACAUUCAUGCCUCUCACUACAUCUAUUGCAAUAAAAAAGAUUGUGUUUUUUGUUACAUCGUGGGAGAAUCAACUUGAGAAGAACAUUGAAGCUUUUGACAUCGUUUUCCUCACCUUGUUUUUUCAUUUCCAAUCACACAUCAUUAACACAGUGAUUUAAAAAUAUCCAUCUCAGGAUUAUUUUUAUUUCUCAAUAGCAUCAUCAAAAUCCUAAGGAGAAUGAAUUGAGUCGCGGCCUAACCAAGCAAGAACGCCAGGAAGUGUUCCUGUCGUUCGCGGUCAACGAGGAAGCCUGCAGAUAACUUACAAGGAAUGCACAAAUUUGGAAGACUUUGACCAAACGACGUCGCCGUACACGUUUAGUUGGAGACUUUAUGAGGCGAAAGGAAUGGAAGUAGAAGGUGCUGGUUCAAUCCCUGUGAAUUCAAACCGACUACAAGUCGCUCCGUGGAAAUUGAAUAUGCUCGAAUGUACGGAGAAAUUCGCAUCAAGCAUGUGCCUGAUCAAUGCUAUCGGUGGCAUUGUGCCGUCUUGUGCCAGCUUAGAGAGGAAUGAUAACAGCAAUGAUGAAUGUACAUAAUCCUCUAGAUACCCUACAAAAAUUUGCAUAUGAGAGUUCCAGGUUUCGAAACUGAUAUGUUUGGUUAAAUGGAGGUCACAGUGCGAUGUCAUAUUCUUGUGGACUCAAUGACAUCACGCAGAGUUCAAAAAAAUGACAUCACGCGAAACUUACCACAUUUAGAAGCAAUUUGGUUUCGCAUUUAGUGUAAGUGAUCAGUACACAGAGGGAGUGUUCCUGUAUAUAAAUUACUGAGUAAGAGGUUUAUCUACGGUUUUCUGCACAUUUUUGAUCUUAUUGACAAGACUCCUCCACAUCUUUAGCAUCUCAGUCACAGCAGAAGUAUUCCCGUCCCGCAAUGAUAGUGCCACCCAAAACUUCUUGUCGAUACAUUCGUACGGAAAAUAAAUUACAACUUGCCGCUUUCCAUAAUGCUCAAUUAGUAAGGCGAAGGGCUAAAUUUUCCGGGGUCUGUAGGGUUCGAUCAGGGCCUGACCUUAUAGUGAGUGGCUUCACCCAAAACCUGGCCUGUAGGAAUUUUCCUGGGUAAAUUCCUGAAUGCUUAGUUUUAAUAGACGGGGAAACUGUAGUCUUAAUCUCUUCCAUCUCCUCCUGAUGAGGGUCGGGUGCAAUGCCAACACGUGCUCAGGCAUAAAAUCAUGCCUUGUUAAUAUGCCCACGACAGGCGAUCUCUGCAAUAAAAGAGCGUCAAGAUUAAAAUAAAUACAUAAAAGAACAUGUUCAACUAGAGCAGGGUGCUAUUACAAUAAAUACGCACCCUGUCACAUGAAAGUAUCACAACAAAUGCCCGCAAGAGACGAGAAGAAAAAUCAAUCGUGAUCCCUCACCCUGAUCUAUUCUGAUUUUUGAGUGAAACUAGGAAGCCACCGAAUGUCAAGUAGCUGUAUAUGCAGAAGUUGAGCUAAACGGAGAGGAGAGCAUCCCUGGUGCAAAGCUGAGCUAGGGAAGCGACGUAAACAUUGGCACACCAAAAUCCCUUUCACAAUGAUGAACACAAGAAAGAUAAUUGAGUGAUAUAAGAAUGGAACAGGGGAGGGUGAGAAAAUCAAGUUCGUGAAGCCAAAGAAGGUAAUGUAAUUCUGAAAAAUGGCCCAAUUCGUUAAAAAGAAGGAAGUCAUCCGUGUUUUUUAUAGGGUUUUAUUACCAUAACAGACUACUAUGAGAAUAAUAGCUUGUCACAAAUUUUUAAACGAGUAGACAUCACAACAAUUCAUAAUUAUUUGCUAUUUGAUUUUUUUAUGGUCUAGAACAGACUUUAUUCUCACAGUACAUCCAAGUCUAUCACUAAAUUAUUUAUCUUUUUUUUCUUAAAUAUAUUGUUGAAUUUUCUAACCAAAAAGAAAAAAAAUUAAUUUUCCAAGUAAAGAAAGGACUAGAGAUAUGUCCAAGAUCACUGAAUGAUGGUAUCGUACUCUAUUUAAAUUGGCAGUAGAGUAUUUCAAUGCCAAAAAACGAAAAGAGCAAUAGAGUGGCUUUUGAUAAAAUUAGAGAAGUGAAAAUGAGAGCUUGCGCCAGCUAUUUUGGGCAUCACCGGCAGAUGUCUCAAGCCAACUUUCCUUUCAAUUUUUUUAAAAUUUUUUUUUUCUGAAAUGGCUAACAUAGCAACCUCAGCAGCGCCUGUUUUUUCAAAAAAUAAUAAAAAAGAAAACCAUGUCAGCUCUUUUUCUUUAUUAACAAAAUUAGAUGGAGUUAACAGAUAAAUUUGAUUGAACUAAUUUGAAAAGUUUUAAAAUUUGAUUACAUUUUUGGAAAGUUUCAUAACUCGAUUACACUUUUACAAUAACUUUUAGGACUUUUGAUGCACUUGUUCCAAAAAAAUAUAAAGCGUUUAAAAUCAAUGAAGUAUCAAAUCAAUAACUUAAUAAAAAAAUCUUAUGGACACCCAUCAAGGCAAGGCAAGCUAGCAUACUCGACUUUAAACUUUGAUUCAGUACUUGGUAUGUGAUAAACAAACCACAACCGAAUGCCUUUUAGGAUAGAAAGAGGAUGAAAAUUAGAGAUGGAUGAACUUGGAAGGAGCUUGGUUUGGUCAUGGAUUGUGCUAGAUAGACAUGAUUUUUUUUUUUUUUUUUUUGGGAUUCAUUGUCAAUACCUAAAUUUUCAGCUAUCAAAUUUUUCAUAACGUUUCAUGAAAUUGGGGAUCUGAUUUGUUAAUCCUUAGAAAAGAUAUAUGAAUUUGCAUUAUCUAACAACAUUCAUGCCUCUCACUACAUCUAUUGCACUCAAGAAGAUUGUGCUUUUUGAUACAUCAUGGGAGAUUCGACUUGAGGAGAACAUUGAAGCUUUUGACAUCAUUUUCCUCACCUCGUUUUGUCAUUUCAAUACACACAUCAUUAACACGGUGAUUUAAAAAUAUCCACCUCGAGAUUAUUUUUAUUUCUUAGUAGCAUCAUCAAAGUCCUAAGGAGAACGAAUUGAGUCGUGGCCCGACCAAGCAUGGACGCUAGGAAGUGUUCCUGUCGUUCGCCGUCAACGAGGAGCUCGAGGUAACAUUGCCGGCAGUCUGAGCUUUGGCGGAAAGCAUAAGCAGAACAAGUGCAAGGACAAUUCCUAGUACUACAGAAGCCAUGUCAGAUGAAGUAUGCACACUCCUUGAGCGGAGCUACAUCAGCCUUUAAAUUGAAACCGGCGUACGCUAACAGAAAUUUCUAUUUUGCCUGAGCCUAUCCCAUACGUCCCGUCGUUGAAGGCCAAGUGACUAUUUGUUUUCUGCUGUUGACACCUAAAAUUUGAUUAAGUAUUUAGGAUUAAAUUGCAUAAGAAAAUUAGGGACAAAUGCGACCCAAACAAAAAUGAUUUUCGCGUCAAUUAGGUCUUAAUUUUUAUUUGCAUCCAUUAAGCUUUAUUUCCUUUUUUUUUCACUUCCUUUCAAAUAAUUUAUUUUAAAAAAAAGAAAAAAAAAGAAAAAAGAAAAGGGUUCUUAUGGAGCUAAGCGUGAAAGCCCAGCCCCUCCUUCUUGUUCUUCCCCGCACGGGCCUGAGGCCUGUUUUUCUUUUCUUUGGCCCAGCCCCUUUCCUUUCUUCUUCUUCCUUCCUCCAUCCCCCCUCUGCCUCUGCAAUUCACGAGCAGCAACGACGACGCGCUCGAGGACGGCCUACAGGGAAGAGAGAGGAGUAGGCCGGCAGCGGACGGGACGCACCUUCAAAGCGGAGCAAGUGGGCAACUGAGGAGACGCCAGUUCGGCCACAUCAAGGCGGUGGGCGCGCCAAGCACCGGCGGCCGAAGCCUCCGUCGACCGGCCCCCCUUUGCCUAUAAAUAGGGCAUCGGGGGGAAGACCAAAGACGCACGGAAGGAGCGAGAUUAGACGACUUCCCUUGAGAGACAUCAGGGGAGGCCCGAAAGCGAGCGAGAUCUGAACAGAGAGAUCUGAUUGAGGGCGAGUUUUGAGAGCCGGUGAGAGCAAAGGCGAGCCUUCGGCAACCUUCGCACCGACGGACCACCGUCGCGCCGUCCCCAAGCCAGACCGUAAGCUCCCUCCCGACCCCUGUCUUUGCCCUGUUUGGGGCACGCUAAGCCGGAGCUUGCGGCCGUCCAGCCACCGCGAGCUCCGGCCUUGUCAUGGCGUUGCCGGCCAGGCGAGGGCAGGGCGCUCGGCUUGGGUCGGCUGAGGCGACGCCGGUGUACACCCUCAGCCGGGCCGAGGCGACUGAGACCACUGGUGUCAGCCGUCUCCGUCGCUGAGAGGAGAGGGGCGCGAUGCCGGGUCGGGAACCGGGUCGGAUGCGGGUCUUGGCCGGGUAGGGUUCAGCUGCUGGGAGAGAGAAGUGGGCUGGGCUUGUUUUUAUUUGGUUCUGGGUCUAACUCGCGGGCCGGGCAUGUCUUUUAAUGGAAAGUGGGCUUGAUUUGGUUGGACUUCGAUUGUUUUAAAAAAAAGAUGGAGUAUUCCGGGCUGAGCCCGCGCCUCAGGCCCAUCCCUACCGGUGUGUGGCGAGUCGGGUCGGUCCCAACCCGGGGAUCCGACCCAGGUCGUUUUAAUAAUAUAUUAUUAUUUUAAUAAUAAAAAUUAAAAAAUCAAAAAAUAAUAAAAAUAAUUUGUUUUUCAGAAAUCAGAAAAAUCCAAAAAUAUUUUACAUUUUCCCAAAAAAUCAGAAAAAGUGAAAAAUCAUUUAUAUUUUCAAAAAAAAUCAAACAAAUUGCAGGUUAAAAACCCAUACCAAAAGUAGUGAAUUGGUAGGUUUGGGAAAGCCCGAGUUAAGCCUAAUAGACUUAACUGAGCCAUUAGCUUUCGCAUGUGCCAGCACGUAAGUAGGUGUCCAAAAAAUAAAUAAAUAAAUAAAAAUAAAGGUCGUGACAUUCACUCAAACCAAAUCUAUUGCACUCGAGAUGUCCAUGUUGACAUUAUAUGACAUAUUAUCUAAAAUAAUGAUUUUUAUCAAGUCUUCUAAUGUUUCACAAGUGCUCCAUACGUUAAGUUGAAAAUUUGAUGAUUUACUAUUUUACUCAAAGUUGAUAAAUUCCAUAUAAUGCUGAUAAAUUCCACUGAGCUAAAAAUAAGCCACUAAUUUCACUAGUAAUUUGUUAAUUUCACCAGUAAAAUUUUGAUGCCGGUGGCAACUUCCUAAAUAGGCUGACAAGCUUAGUAUUGAACUUUACUAGAUUUCAUACUUAAUCAAUAAAAAUUAUUUAUAAAAUUAAAAAAGAAAAUGAUGCCCUCAACUCACGAAAAAAAAUGACUCAUUGAAUUUAGUCAUUUUUUAAGUAUAAUUGAUUGAUCGAUCAUUUUUUGUUGUGCAUCCCUACCAACAUGUAAAAUUGAUUCUUAAGUUUUUAACAAUUUGGCAUUUGCUUGGCGAUUGUAUAUGUGACACCUUGGAUUUAACUCACUUGAGGUAUUGUCUGUUUUGGCUCGUCCUAUGCUGCACCUCACGAUUUUGUCAUUUGGCAUACAAGUGAGUAUUUUUUCAAGAGGUCAUCCUUCCUCAUAGUGCCUCUACCUAAGCAAGUUCCAAAUUGUCACUACAUCAAAAAGCACCUCUCUGAGUUAAUUCUAGUUUUCACAAAUAUAUCAUAAAUCACUCUGUCUGUUUUGCGUGGUUCACUCAUGUCCCCUUUGCUAUUCUAGAAACCAUCGGGAGUCGUUCCUAGUCCAAGCCCUCUAGCCCUAGUAAUCACUCCCCAAUCUUAUUGAACCAAAUCCUUACAGUAUCCAAAUGAGCCGUAACAUCAUUGCUUGCUUCCACUGGCAAUGGUGUUUCCUCUUGUGGAUUUUCAUGCCAUUGUUGAUGCAAAACAUGUACAAAGUGCCAUGUGCAAGUGGAAACAUGUAUUUAAAAAUGAUAUUGUAGAUAGUUGUUUUUACCAUGAUAAGAAUUCACCAAACUUGUUCACUGUUACGAGUUUCUAGUAAAAGUUGAAUGGCAACCUUUUUAUCAAGUUGAACUAUUUACUUACCAACAAGAGAACAAUACAGUUCUGAAAUGGUCAAUGAACUUGAAGUUACUAAUUUCACUAUUAUGGUACCAAUUUCAUGGCUAAGCUUUGAUUUUGAGUGGUAAAUUAUAUUCUACUUGAAGUUGGUAAGUUCCUUGCUCUGAUGGUAACUUAUAAAACAAGUACUAGAAGGAAUCUUAACAUUACUGAAGCCAUGUUAGAUGAAACUUGUGUGCUCCUUGAGUGGAGCUACUUCAGCCUUAUGAAUGAAACCAUCAUUCUUUAUAGAUUUUAUACUUUGUAUGCUCUCGGAGUCUUUCCCACAACUUGUUUGAACCAAAUUUGUGGAAAGAUUUUGCCCAUGUCAACACAUAUAUCUAGUCUUAUAAUAGUAUUACUUGUUUGUUUCUUUUUUCUUAGGGCUCGAUUGUUAACUUGCCAAACAUUGUUUAUUUCUAUUCUUUUAUUCCUGAAAAUAAUUUUGGAACAGAAUCGCGUUGGGUAAAAUUUUUAUUUCUGGGAACAGAUUUGGAGUAGAAUCAAGAAUAAAAAAAAAUUAUUCUUACUCUCGGGAACAAUUCUAUAAUCAAGUCAACCUAUUUUUUAUUUUUCCUCUUCUUUCUUCUUGCUCUUCUUCCCUUUCUCUUGUUCUUCAAGUGUUGCCGCCGCCACCAUUGUUGUCUGCCGCUGCCACCGCCCCCUACCGUUUGCCACUGAGUGCCGACAAGCUCGCUGAAGGCUUGCCCAACCAUCGAUGAGGUGGGCCUCGCCCAAGCCUCCCUCGACCACUGGUGAGCCUUGCCUAAGGCCAAGCCUUGACGGUGGCCAAGUGAGCCUCAUCUAGGCCUCCCUCGGCCACCGGCGAGCCUCGCCUGGCUAGGCAAGGCUCAACCCAGCCGCUGGCGAGGCUUGUCCUCACCAAGGCACUACAAGGUCAAUGUUGUCGGGCCAAGGCAAGGCCGACCUCACGGUAACCCGGUGAGGUCGAGCCCCGCCGGCGGUUAGACGAGUUCAGCCUCGCCAAAUCUGGGCGAGGCCGCUCGCCCAGCCAAGGCUCGGAUGAUGAGGCACGGCCUGUUGCCACCUAAGGCCGGCGACCGACCACCUUGAAGAAGAAGAAGCAGAAGAAGAAGAAGAAGAAGGAGGAGGAGAGGCAGAAGUAGAAGAAGAAGCAGAAGCAGAAGAUGGAGAAGGAGAAGAAGGAGAAGGAGGAGGAGAAGAAGAAGGAGGAGGAGAAGCAGAAGAAGAAGAAGAAGAAGAAGAAGAAGAAGAAGGAGAGGCAGAAGUAGAAGAAGAAGCAGAAGCAGAAGAUGGAGAAGGAGAAGAAGGAGAAGGAGGAGGAGAAGAAGAAGGAGGAGGAGAGGCAGAAGUAGAAGAAGAAGCAGAAGCAGAAGAUGGAGAAGGAGAAGAAGGAGAAGGAGAAGAAGAAGAAGGGGAGAAAGAAAGGGAAAGAAGAAAAAAGAAAAAAAAAUAAAGGAAAAAAAAUAAUAAAAUUAUUUAAAAAAUAAACAAAAAUGAUUUGAAAUAGGAAUUUAAAUUUUGCUAUAUAUAGAAUACAUAUUUUUAAUUUUAUUUUAAUUUAUUAUUUAGUAUUUAUAUUUAUAGUUUAUACUAUAGUUUAUUAUUUACUAUUUAAUAAAAAUUUGAUUAGUUAAUAUUUUUAUUACUUAGUAUAAAUAUAAUUAAUCAAUAGAAUUUCUAUGAUUUGAUAGAAUUUUAGAAUGGAAUAGAAUUCUAAAUUCAAAUUCUUUUUAAAUUGGAAAUAUAAUAUGAUUUCUUCAUUUAUAAGAAGACAAUUAUAUUGGUGAGUGGUCCAUGAGAAUUCAAUAUCAAAUUUACACUCAUCUAAAAAGGUAAUUGAAAAAGAUUUGGAAUAGAAAUUUGAUGUAGUUAUUAAACGCAUUUCUAUUCUUUUUUUAUUCAAAAAUCAGAAAUUUUGUGCAAUUACCAAACGCAUUCUUUUGCUCAAAAAUUGUUCCCGGGACCAGAAUGAUUACUAAACGCACCCUCAAAGUAUCUUAUUAGUUAUAUUUUUAUAUUCAGCAAAGUUUGUUGGAAAAUCGACUUUGAAAUUGGGUUGAACAAUAAAGUGAGAUUUUGAGACAUAAUAUCACUUUCUUAAGGAUUAUUUGCUCCCAUAAAGUUGUUAAUAGUCACCAACAAAUUUCCUCUAGAAUACAACAAAGUCUCGAUAAGAAUAUUAUAAAGCAAUUCUAAUAUUUCUCCUAAACCUCUCGAGGAAAGCAAUUCCAAAAGAUGGUUGUAGUUUUUGGAAAGAAGACUUGAAAAAAAAUAAUACUAGCAAACCGUUUUCUCAAAACCUAACAUAUUUAUGUCGGUCUUAUUGAACAAAGACAUACCUUCGGGAAAAGUUACAAAAUGAACUAGUAAGAUUGCAAAAGACCAGUCAAGAAAGGUUGCUAAUUGAACUAGUAUGCUUUCCAAACGACAACUUGAGAAGAUAUAAAAAUUCGGAAUAAAAAAUAAUUAAAAAUAUUACUAUUUUAAUAAAAAAAUUCCAAAUUUAAUAAUUUUGAAAAAAAGAUAAAAAAAAAUAAAUACUGUGUUUUGAUUAACAAGAUAAUCAUAUGGAAACAAGAUAACCAUAUGGAAUAAGAUAAAAGGAUAGGGGAUUAGCGCUAAUUAUACUGCGAGCACGCAAGCAAGUCAAGUGCACUUAAUAAUCGCGUAAUUAUUUGUGCAUCCAGCAUGCGGGUAUUAUGAGGUAUAGCCCACACCCUAACCUUGUUUCUAAGCAAACUAGAAAAGCUCACACAUUAAGUGGCCUAUCUCAUACUAACUUUUUUAUGUGGGACAAAGAAGAAAAGCAUUUUUGUUUGUUUUGCAAACCAACACCCAACAAAGUUUACAAAAAAUUAUCUUAUAAUAGUAUCGUUGAUAUUAAAUUUUUCUGAUGGUUAUAUUAUCAAUUUUAAAUUUCUUUUUACCCCUUUUUCUAUAGAAAUCAAUGGUGAAAGAAAACUUUCAAAUUUAGAAAACGGCGAGGCUACACCACAAGCUUGCGGGGACCCUCAUAUUUUUCAAGGAACAACAAGAAUUUGGAAGACUUGACCAAACGUCAUACACGUUAAGUUGGAGACCUUAUGAGUUAUGGAGAAGAAGGCAGGGCUCGUAGUUGAUUUAGUACCUACGAAUUCGAACCAAUUACUAAGUUACCUCGUGGAAAUUGAAUGUUUCAAUUAUAAUCAUACAUAUGCUUGGACGUACCAGGAAAUUUGCUUGGUCGUCCUGCAUCAGGCAUGCACUCAAUGGAUGCAAACCGUGGUCCGUGGCUUUGUGGUGAUUCAAUGCUUAGAAUGAGACGGGUCUUUGUGCAACUUGAAAAGAAAUGGUUGCAACAAUGAUGGAUGAACAUAAUUCUGCAGAUAUUCUACUAAAGUUUGCUUAUAGUAGUUUCAGGUUUUGAAAUUCCUAUAUGUUUGACUAAAUGGAGUGACGUCACGAUAUUGUAUUCUCAUGAACUUAAUAACAUCAGGCAAAACUUAUUGCAUCUAAAAGUAAUUUGGUUAACAUUAUAACUCAAUUGCACUUCUACAAUAAGUUUGGGACUUUCAUUAUACUUAUAAGAUAAAAAAAUAGAGCAUUUAGAGCUUAUGAAUGACCAAUGAAUAAUCAAGUCAACAACAUUAAACAAAAAAAAAAAAUCAUAUUGAACUGAUAAAUGAGCUUGAAACUGAGGUAUUGGGACUUCAACAGCUCCUUCCAACAUCUGAGUGAUUUUCUUCAUAGUUGGCCUCAAAGCCGGGUCUUCCUGGAUGCACCACAAUGUCUUCAUCACAAAUCUUCUCACCCUCCUCAUGUCGUUUGAUGCCUCCUCAUUACUCUCCAUGAGCGAAAGUACAUUCUCAUCGAGGUAACAGUCAUACACCCAGUUGACCAGUACAAUUUGAGCUUCAAUUUUGGCUCUCAGCUCAUAGUUCUUUCUGCAGCAGAUGAGCUCAACCAACAAAAUGCCGAAGCUGUAAACGUCUACUUGCUAGAAAUAGGCAUAUUCUUGAACCAUUCUAGCCCUAAAUAACCUCUGGUUCCAGUGAUGGUUCGUGUUUUGUUCACCAUCAAGAGCUUAGCUAUUCCGAAAUAUGAUAUUUUUGCAGUGAGAGAGCCAUCAAGAAGAAUAUUUUCUGGCUUGAUGUCGCAGUGGAUUAUAUGCCUAGUGCAAUCAUCAUGCAAGUAAGAGAGCCCCUAUGCAACACCACAGGCAAUUUCUAUUCUUUUGUACCAGCUGAGCUUUGAAAUGCCAAAUAGAAAAUCUGCCAAAGUGCCGUUGCUCGUGAAUUCAUACACGAGUAGUCGAUGUUGACCUUCAUUGCAAAACCCAAGCAACUACACUAAGUUCUUGUGGUUAGUCUGGCCAAUUACACUCACUUCUCUUUCAAACUCCUUUUCCCUUUCUCCAGUCCUUGUUGCCAGCACUUUUACUGCCACGAAGUUUGUAACCUCGGAUCCAAGAACACCUUUGUACACUGUUCCAAAAGCACACCUACCUAGUUCUUCUUUGAAUUCAUCUGUUGCUUCUUGAAGCUCCUGAUAAGUGAAAGUUUGCAUACCUGUGGCUUGGUUGAUUUGGACUGGUCGUGACAACUUAGAAUCCCUAGAUCGGAAGCUUCUAUAAGUUAAAUAGGUGAUGAGGAGUAGAAGCAAGUUCACAAACACAGGGCUACUCAACAGCACUAAUCCGAUGAUAAUCAGAGUGGAAUUCUUGUUUCCAUCUCCCGUAGAUUUUGAACUCGAGUUAUUUAUCCUGACCUUGAUCAGAGCUUUUUCAUCCUCACUAGGAUCCAUUCUUCCAUUGGAAAGAGGGAUCUUCUUUUUGUAGCAAGUUCCGCUGUCGCCAAAAAUAGCAAUUGCGCAAAAACAAUCAGCCAAACAAGCCUCUCUGCACCUGUCCUCGGUUUGUGCUGCAGUACGCUCGUAAUCAUUCCUUGGCCAGUUUGUACGAAGCAUUUCAUGCAAAGCAAACUGGUCUGUUUCGGGCCUACUUCCAUCACAACUCUGCGGUACGAAGUCCUCCCUGCAUCCAUUCAUCUCGUUUGUUGAAUCUAAUGGCGUAUAUCCAGGUGGUCAGUGGCAUCGAGGCCUCUGGUCGUCUCCAAGAGCACAGUAGCUGUUGAAGCCACAAGCUCCAGAACUCGUAGUUUGCUUGAUGCUCUGGCAUAUAUUUGGAGGGAUCGGGGAAGAGACCAUCGACCAGCCCAAUGCCAAGGCAGAACUUGAAUUUGCCCCCUUAGGGUGGACAUAUUGCCUGAAGACCCCCAUCGUAUUCAAGGAUUGCUCUUUAGUAAAACUCGUUGGUCGGGACUGUGUUUGAGGUGACAAGUUUGAGCAGUGUUCCAUUCCUAGCCGUAAGGUAGACCUGAUCACUUUGAUUGAAUAUCAAUCUGAAGCCGCUACUUUGGUGUUGCUGACCCAGUAAGUAUCUGAGGCAAGCCACGGGUCAGAAGUGGCAUAGAAUGCGAGAUUUCCGUCGUCUCCUAGCUUCAAGUGGAAUCUCCCGGUGGAGUAAUUCAUUUCAGAGUAGCGAGCGUUAACUUUAGUCCCUUGAUCUAACUGUUGCGUAGGCAGUAUCGUGUCGGUCAGUUGGCUGAACGUCUCCCACAAGUUGACGUUGUUCUGGCUAACUAGGACAAAGUUUCCCGUGUCAAGCAUGGCCGCAUGCGCUACACUAGCGACAGUCGGGCUAGGAGACCUCAACUCUCUUCCAUUUGGGUCGGCUAGCACCAGUCGGCCGUCGGUGGUCAACUGGAUCUUCGAGCCUUCUGGCACUAAAUUAUCACCAUUCACUGACCAGACAAUGGUCUUGUCCUCUAUCUUCUCAAACCAUAUUGCCAGCAAAUGAGCCCCUUUGUCCCAUUUUCCGGAACCCGAAGGUGAACUCGCCCGACGGAGACAGCCAGGAAGAGUUCUGGUCAUCCCGUUAACGAGGAGCCCAAGGUGAGGUUUUCGUUGAUCUGAGCUUUGGCGGAAAGUGGAAGGGUAACAAUCAGCAGAAGGAUUCGGCGCAUCACUGAAGCCAUAUGAGAUGGAAACUGGAGGUGCUCCUUGAGUCAAGCUACUGCAGCCUCAAGGAUGAAAACUAGCACUCUUUAUAGAAUUCGAGAGCGUCUCUCGUCACCUGUCAACAAGAUUAUAAAUCCAGCACCUUGACAUCUAGCAGUAGAUUAGCAAGUUAUAUUUUUAAAGGGAAACUGUCAAUUAACCGGUAAAUUAUCAGGAAAUACAAAACAGUUUUCUAGAGUUUUACAAUGAGGCCCUUUCGGUCAAUUAGUAACUAAGCAAAGAUAAAAUGAUGUUAUCAUCCUGAAAUAGUAACGUUAUCUAGAUUACCCAGUGCUUUAACAUACAAAAUGAAGAUUUUAUCUCGUUAGAAUCUGGUAUAUAGUGGUAGAUCACCAAGUGAUUUAAAAUUUUACAAGUGAGCCCGUCAAGCAAUUAGUAACUCUCUAGUGGAAUCAUGAUGUUAUCACCCCUACGUCAAGUAGUGAACUCUCAGGUGCUUUAAAAAUUUUCAAGUGGGUUCAUCAGAUAGGUGGUCAAUCUCUAAAGAAGUUGAUAAUUUAUUAUUUCACCGGUUGUAACUUGUUAAGCUAAAAGCAAGCUUACUUCGAAAAAUUACUACUUUUACAAUCCUUAACUGUACUGGUAAUCUCCAAAGACAACCUCCUAAAUUUCCAAAGACAACCUCCUAAAUUAGUUAAGUAAGCCCUUCGGCAAAUUUCGUACUUUACAUGAUACUUACUACCUUAAGGGAGAUCUGACAUGUUGCUAAUUUCUCUGCUACUUACUAACUUUAACGAGGGAGUUUUACAAUUUAAGAUUGAAUUGGUGUUAAUAAAUCUCUCAAACUGUUGCGACUUAUUAUGCCAAAAGCGGGCCUACGUUGGUGAGUCACUUAUUCCCAUGGUAAGUUAAUAACCAAGGUUAUAUUUCCAAUGGCAAAUUCCUUACUUUCUUGGUAACUUAACUUAUAGCGAGACCCAUAUUGGUAAUUUACUAUAUUCACUCUUAAAUUACUAGUUUCACUGCUAAGUUUUUAACUUUGAGUGAUAAUUUCAAAGAAAGGUGAUAAUUAACUCUCCCAUUUAAUGUUGGCGAAUUGCUAACAUUGUCUGUAAAUCACCAUCACUUGGUUGGAACUUGUAAAGCACCGACAUUCUUCGAGAGCUUUCGUGUUGUGUCGAACACUCCACACGUGUCUAACACUCUCGGAUACUCCCGAACACUCAAUCAACAUGUGUUGGAAAAUCUGACACUUAGUGUGACAGUCUGAAUUUUUAGAUUUCAUUUUCGAUUAAGUAAAUCGGGCAUACAUCGCCUGCGGUGGUGUCGCUAGCUUCGAGCUCUCUCCCUCUCACGAAGGGGAGAAGUUCGAAUCCCAGAGGCGUCGCUAGGGUUCUUAAGCAUGACAUUGAGGUGGUGGGUUCUUUGCUAGCGUCACCCUAGGGUUUGAUCGUCGGCUGUAAAUGGUUCCCUAUGUCACCAAAAAAAUAAUAAUAAAUAAAUCAUGCAUUUUGUUAACGUGUCAAUAGUGCUAUUUUCUGAGCUGAUUACUUACGAAAUAACUAGACUAUCUGAGGAAGCAAUUAAGGGAUCUAAAUGCAAAUGAACUUGAGAAUUUGACCAAGAAUUGACUGCUUAACCGUGUUGAUCUGCAAGGGUCAUUAUGGCACUGUCGAAAUCGAUCAGAGACCGGAGAUAGGUCGACUUGACUGAGAUAUGCGAUCAGAGUAUGGGUGAUUCCACUUGAUUGCAAAAUACUCGUUGAUCGGCACUAGACCGAUUUUUUUUUUUAUCGUUUGAUACCCGGUGCCCAUAAUUGAAACUUUAAGAUUAUCAUGACGACCAAGAGUCGCCAAUGUGUCAAAGAUGUAUAUUGUGACUCGAGAUAAAUCGAUCACGGGUCAAUUGUACCAAAAAUUCCUAAAAUUUAUCCAGUAGACUAGGUUAUGCUAAAAUUGCAUCAAAUUGAAAUUAACCAUGAAUUUAAACCCGAUUUCAGAAAUUGAAAGUUCUGUCAAUGUCACGAUCUAUUUUAGAAAUGUCGACUCAUCCUCCGAAUAAUUUUCGGAGAUCCUGAGAUUUUUACGGAAAAUCGAUUUGUACGAUUUGGAAAUUAACGAAAAUUCGGAUGGCUAAAUUGAAGCCGCCAGCGAUGCCACAAGUUCACUCAGCCCAGCCCAUACCCCCGCACGGUCAGCAUCUCUAUCGAAGUUUGACCUGUAGUUGCCAUUCAUCCGUGUCCCUCUCUCUAUUGCGUCAGCACCGCGCGAAGACAUGAGCAGCUCCCCUAGCAGCUCACGCCGGCUACCACGUCCUCAGCGUCGUCACCCUCAGUCAACCAUCAACCGAAGCACCUCCCACCGUCAACCCUUCUCUGCAGCUCCAUCGAUCCCCUUCACGUUCGGCCAGCAGUCCACCCCUCCGAAGGAGAUCACACCAGCGAGCCCCAGUCCGUUUGAAGUCCAGCUGGGCCCAUAAGCCCACAACUUGAAGCAGUCUAGCCCAUCCGCUCCUACUUUUCAGUCCAGCUCGGCAUCUUCAGCAAGCCCAGCCCAUUCGAAGACAAGCCCUGCAGCAGCAAGCCCAUUUCAGCCCAGUUCAGUUCAGUUCAGUUCAACCUAAGGAGCAGCCCAUCUUCAGUUUUGGUCAGGCCCAUUUGAAGCCAAGCUCGUGAAGUCGAGUCCAAUUUAGCAAAUCCCAAGCCCGCGCCACUUGAAGCCCAAUCCAGCAAUUCGAAGCCUAACUCAAUUCAGCAACUAAUCUCAGCUUGGGCUGAGAUUUGUUGGGUCAGUUUAAGGCCCAAUCCAAGCCUGUCAGUGUCAUCGCGAGCCCAAGUUAAGCCCCCGUCGCGGUGAACCGAUCUUCGCUUUUCACAAGUGAGUUUUGCUCACUAAUCCCUGUUUAGUUGGUUAAUUAUAUUUAGGGGUUGUUUAGAUUUAAUUAAGUGCAAUUAAGUUGAUAGAUUAUAUUAGAGUAAUUAAAUUAGAGAUUUACUGAUGUAUGUUAGGCAAACGGUUAAUAUAGUUAGCAAGUAGACACGCUCUAUUAUUUAUUGAACGAAUCUCGAAAAUUUUCUGGGUCCGUUUUGGCUUCCAAUUUGGCAUUACGGGCCUCAAUUGGAUUAUUGCAUUUAUUUAAUAUUUUUGUAAUUAAUUAAUUAUUUAUUUAUUUUUCGAAAUUUAGGUUGGGAUAGCUGACGACCAGAAUUUUAUGAUAAUUAUUGUAGCGUAGUCCGUUUAUUUAUUUGAGCUAUAAUUGGCGCUGAAUUGAUUUAAUUGAGAUUUUAGGAUUUUAUUCCUAAAUUAAUCAUUUCAGUAAUUGAUUGGAAAAUAACCGAGUGUUGGUUUGCAACGCCAAAAAUAUUUUGGUGGACUAUAUAAAAUGGUGGGAUUUAUGGAAAUGAAAUUUUUGUAUUUUGGCUAAGGCCGACUGUGUACUUACACACAAUAUUUUGUCAAAUAUGAUAAAAAUGGAAAAAUGGCCUUAGAAUAGUAGAUCAGUGGAUCUAGCAACUUUUGGCGAGCAUAUAUUAAUUUUAGCAUGCCAUGAGAGUAUGGUUGGCAGCUUCUGGUGAGCAUAAUAAAUAUAUCACAUCAGUGGAUCUAGCAGCUUUUGGUGAGCAUAAAUAGUAUACUGUAUUAAAUAUCGCGACAGCCUCUGGUGAGCAUAUAUAAUAUACUAUAUCAGAAAUUGAGACAGCUUAUGGCGAGUAUAUAUAUAUAGUAUAUUAUCUCAGUAUUUGAGGCAGCUUCUAGCGAGCUAUACUACCUAUUAUUGGUUUAUAAUAAGCAGUUCUGGGUAUAAUCGGACUUAUAGGUAGUAUUGAUUGAAAUGACCGAGUGAUGGUCUCAAUGACAAGUAAUCAACUGAGUGGAUUGAUCAAUGGCUCGAUCUAUUUGAUUGAAUGAUGUAAUUGCGAGUAUUUGUUAUUUGAAUUUACUUGCACGAAGGAACUGAGGCCAAGGUAAGCCAUUUGACGCUUGAUUGUGCUUAGAUAGCUCCUAAGGCAUAUUUCCUUCCUAAUCGAGUCUUAGGGGGUAAAACUCGCCGAGACAUUAUCUCACUGGUUAUUGUAUAAUCAUUUUUAGGUCCGUAGAUAAUGGUUAUGGAGGACUGAAGCUCAGAGUUUAGGAGGUGAAGCUCAAAGACCCGGCGAACUUGUCCGAUUAGUUAGUCAUAGGACAAUUCUCUUUUGUUAAAAGCCGAUCCCUUUUUGAAGGCUUAUGUAUAUAAACUUGUGUGUUUAUAAAAAGAUAAAAAUAGAAAAAUUGGCCCUGUUUUCCUAUCUCAUCGUUUUAUUGUCCGGGGAUUUAUAUCUACUUCCGCAUGUGUAUAUUAAAAUGAAUGGAUCGGCGAUGAGUCAUGGCACAUCGCUAUUAAUCGACCAAGGAGGGAUGGGCACAUACUCAGAGGAUCCGAGCGUGACACUUAGUCAACUUUCCCGACACUCGAGUUGGAAUUUCGACAUGUAAAUUUUUGACACAUGAUUCCGAUACAUGGGGUCAAUUUUUAAAAUUUUCAAUAAAUGAUUUUUAAAUGUAUAUAUCCAAAAAAUAAAAAAUAAAAAUAAAAAUACUAAAUGGGGAAAGAAGAAAAAGCUAGUUUUUUUUCCCCUCUUUGAGUCUUACUUUCUGUGAUACAACUCACUUUCUAAGUUUUUUUUUUCUUUUUCUAUUUUCUUCCGACAAGUCUAACACAUAAGUCCAGAAUGUGAAUGGCUUGUUUUUUUUCCUCUCUCCGAGUUUUAUGAAUUAUCUUAAUUGAAUUAAAUUUGUUAAAUUGAAGUAAUGAAUAAUAUUAAUUGAUGGUGGACUAAUAUUUUUAGUAUAAAUUCAUUCUAGGCUUCUAUUAUUAUUUAUUUAUUUGUGAAUUUGAAUUAAAUUAAUUUGAUUGAAAUAAUCAUAAAAAUGAUAAUACAAAUUUAAUAUAUAACGUGUCAUAAUAUGUCGGAAUUCUUUAUUUUUUUGAAAAAUAACUUAUUGACGUAUCUUAUCGCGUGUCACAUGUCAUGUGUCACGUGUUGCAUGUCGGUGCUACUUAGGUUGGAACUUUGACCAACAAGUUACAUGAUAUAACCAAAUUUUAAUCAUAUUCGAAGAGUGCCGUGCACGAAGCAUGACUGGAGUAGGUGUGAUUCUUAGUUUCUCUGGAUGUGGAAAUUUUGAAAAAAGCAAGUCGGCUUGGGCGGAGCCAUUAAGCAUUGGCCGCGACCCAGAAAUUUCUCAAGGAGAAACAGAUAAAUUUAGAAGACUUUGACCGAAACGUCUUCUAGGGAGGAGGAGAUUUUGGGAGUUGAAAUUUUUUUAUUUUUUUUUACCAAAACACGAAGAUUCGAUUCCCGCGGAAAUCAAAGCGAUUGCAGGUCACUUCGUGGAAAUUGAACGUUUCGGUGCGUGUACUGACGUGGAAAUUUACAGCGGUGUCCUGCAUGAAGCAUGCAUUCUGUAUGAACACGAUUUCAUGCCGAGCUGUAUGAACACUAUCUCAUGCCGAACUGUAUAAACACUAUCUCAUGCUUGCUUACGGAUCACGACCGCUUGACCGUCUUUUUUAUGUGAUUGUCAUGAAAGUGAAGCGGGACCCAGAAGAUCAUCAUGCAAAACGCUCAAAAUAUAAAAAAAAUUCAAAAUAGUAAAUAAAGAAGCAAACUUCGACCACAUACUAGAGCCGAGGAGCCAGUAAGAGACAAAGCAUUGAAUCUACAAUUUCAAAAUCUGAGCGAACUUUGACCACAUACGCUUACCUUGUGAGCUUAAAUUUAUUAUUAUUUGAGACUUGUUGACAGUGUUAAGUGUAUGCUUUGGUGUAUAAUAGUGAGUCCUAUCACUUGAGUAUAAGCAGCACCAGCUUUGGAUAGAAGCGUUUGGGUAUAAGUAGCACAAUUUGACCGAGACCAUUCAUUGGUUAUCUAGUGGAAUCUAACCAGUAUGCUGUUAACGUAGGAGAAUGGACGUGGGCCUAAUCCAAAUUAAACCAUUAUAAAUUUCGUGUAUAAUUUUCUUUUCUCUGAACACUUAUUGUUUAUUGCUAUUGUUUAUUGCACACUUACCAGGUGAUUCAAAGUCUGUGCUACUGCAUUCCAGAAUCUGAACCCUUAUUAAUUUGUCAAGAUUUUGUAGUAUCACCAAUUCAAACUUUAAACCUGCUAGCCACCCUCAGAUUAUACUUCCAACUACGUGAUUUGCGGACUAGGAUCUUUUUGGUCUAGAAGAAGUUGGUUGCCGAGGGGAAGUGAGUAUCCCUCCUGUAUGAAUAAAAAAGUAGCAUAACUAUUGAAAUUGGGAUUCCAAGUCAACGAUCCAUGACCUGAGGAUUCGGCCUCGCAUGCAAUCCCUUCUGCGACGAUCAUCAACCCGUUCUCUCUUGGAUACAUGCGAGGAAAUGUUAAACUUGACUGAUGAUAUAGCUUAUUUAAUCGGGAUCCAUGUGAAGCCAGUAUGCGUAAUAGCACUUACAGAUAAUACGAGUACUUUUCAUGAUUACAGACAACAGUGGUCUUAAAUAAGCAAAAUCAUAUUGAACUCAUAAAAGAGCUUGGAACUGGAGGUACUGGGACUUCAAUAGCUCCUUCCAACAUCUGAGUAAUUUUCUUCAUGGUUGGCCUCAAAGCCGGGUUUUCCUGGAUGCACCACAAUGCUGUCAUCACAAAUCUUUUCACCCUCUUUAUGUCGCUUGAUGCCUCCUCAUCGCUCUCCACUAACUGAAGCCAUGUUUGAUGAAACUGGCGUGCUCCUUGAGUUGAGCUACUUCGGCCUUAUAGAGAUUUCCUACUUUCCAACCUACCAGAGUCUCGCUCGUACGUCCCGUCGGUGAGAGAGGCGACCAUUCCUCCCCCGCUUUGAUGCGAUUGCUCCUCCUUUUUCUCCACAGCAAGUUUGAACCAAAGUUGUGGACGGCCUUUGCCCAUGUCGACUCAUAUCAUAUAUCUAUCACUAUCUUUGACCAAAAACAAAACACAUAUAUCUAUCUAAAAUAAUGAUUUUCCCAUAUGGUCUGAAGAAGCUCCACCUGUAGUAAAAGGAAAGGAUUAAUUAAAAUAGGAGGUGAUAUUUGUACAUAUAUUUUAUUACUAAAUCUUUUUUUUUUUGCAUUAAUAAACCAUUUCUUUAACGGCAAUCAAUAAACCAUUUUAAAGUUUAUAAUGAGUAUUGAUUUUUUACUUGAUUUUGUUUCUCUUUUCUUAAAGUAUUUUAAUAGUUCUAUUGAUAUAUUCAUCAAAUUUUCUUCAAAAAUUCUUAUAUUAAUAUCAUCGAUUUAAUUUUUCUAAUAAUAAUAUCUCUGUGAAUUUAUCUUUCUUCAUUUUCUUUAUUUUUCUUUAUAUAUAUAUAUGGAAAUCAAUGGUGAAAGAGAACUUGUCAAACUUAGAAAAAGGCGCCCCCGCUCCAUCAGCUUGACCGGACCCAGAUACCUUUCAAGGAACGCAACUUGGAAAACACCAAACUUCGUUGUACAUGUUAGUUGGAGAUUUUUUGAGAUGAAAGUGAUGGAAGAAGAAGGCAGGGCCAGCAGUCGAUUCAAUCCCCAUGAAUUCAACCGACCACAAGUUGCUCCGCGGAAAUUGAAUAUGCUCGAAGGUAGGUGGAAAUUUGCAUUGAGCACGUGACCGAUCAAAUUCUUCCGGCAGCGGCAUUGUGCGGUCUUGUGCAACUUGGAGAGGAAUGAUUACAACAAUAAUGAACGAAAUUGAUUCAGCAGACACUCUCCAAAAGUUUGCAUCCAGGAAUUUCGAGUUUUGAAACCGAUACGUUGGGCUAAAUGGAUGUCACGGUGACAUAAAGAUAUCAUGCUCGUGGAGUUUACAACAUCAUGCAAUACUUACCGCAUAUAAAAGCAAUUUGGUUUCCAUCUAGUAUAAGUGAUCCGUUCACAAAAGGGGGAGUGUUCCUGUAUAUAAAUUACUGCAUAAGAGGUAACUAUCUACAGUUUUCUGCACAUCUUUGAUCUUACUGUCAAAGAGUCCUCUGCAACUUCAGCAUAUCAGUCACGGCAGAAGUAUUCCCGCGCCACCGUGAUAAUGCCAGCCAAAACUUCCUGUUUAUACAUUCGUCCCGCAAAUAAAUUACAACCCGCCGUUUUCGACAAUGCUCGACUAGUAAAGCGAAGGGCUAAUUUUCCAGGGUUUGUAGGGUUCGAUCAAGGGCCUGAGCUUAUAAUGAGCAGCUUCCAAUAAGCUCCGUGCUGCAUGAAUCCCAAAAAAUCUGGCCUGAUCGAGUAGGAAUUUUCCUGGAUAAAUUCCCGAAUGCUCAAUGGGCUAUGCUAGAAUAGUUUUAAUAGGCGGGGAAACUGUAGUCUUAAUUUCUUCCAUCUGCUCCUAAUGAGUGUCGGGUGCAAUGCCAACACGUGCUCAGGCAUAAAAUCAUGUCUUGUCAAUAUGCCCACCACAGGCGAUCUCUGAAUUAAAAUAGCGUCGAGAUUAAAAUAAAAACAUAGAAGAACAUGUUCAACUAGAGCAGAAUGCUAUUGCAAUAAUUAAGCACCCAGUCGCAUUGAAGUAUCGCACCAAAUGCCCACAAGAGACGAGAUGAAAAAUCAAUUGUGAUCUCUCACCAUGAUCCACUCUGAUUUUCUAGUGAAACUAGGAAGCCACCAAAUGUCAAGUAGCCAUAUAUACAGAAAUUCAGCUAAAUGGAAAUUCAGCUAAACGGAGAGGAAAACAUCUUAGUGCAAAGCUGAGCUAGAGAAGCUACAGAAGUAUUUGGCAGUCCUCACCAAAAAGGGUCAAACUGGAACAUAAGAAAGAUAACCGAGUAAAAUAAGAAUGGAAGAGGUGAGGGUGAGAAAAUCAAGUAUGUGAGGCCAAGGAAGAUGGUAUUAAUGUGAUUCUGAAAAAUGGUCCAAUUUGCUGAAAAGGAGGAAGGCAUCAGUGUUUUUCAUAUAUCGUCAAUUGCUCCAACCAAAAAGAAAAAGUCCAUUUUGCAAGUAGACACAGGACUAGAGCCAUGAGCAAAAUCACUGAAUGAUGGGGUAGUACUCUAUUUAAAUUAACAGUAGAGUAUUUCGAUGCCAAAAGACAAAAAGAGCGAUAGAAUAGCUUUUGAUAGAAUUAAAGAAGUGAAAAUGAGAGCUUACGCCAGAGAUUUUAGGUUAUCACCAGUAGAUGUCUCAAGCCAACUUCCCGGAAAAGUAUGAGAGCCUUCGCAAGUGACAUUGUCUCCACAACCGUGUAAGGUGAAGCAUUAGUAAAAGGAUGUAAAUCCAAGAACAUCUCCAUCUCUUCUUCAGUCAAGUCUAUAUCUUCUAUCAUGUUAUAAUGACCUGAUCCCCUCUUCAUGAAGUCCUCUGCUGAAAUCUGCUCAAAGGCAUCAAUAUCCGUCGGAACUGGAUCAGACAAAAAAGCUUUCUUCUUUAAAAGCUCCAUCAGAUGAGCACAGAGAAUUAAACCAUACAGAAAGGGGGACUCUGAAUGUGGAGGUUCAUCAAUUACAGGAAACCCGUUGUGCCUUGUAGUUCGCAACACAUGUACCACAUUAGCGACCUUCUCGAUGCCAUGAAACAGCUGAAGGGGCCCACUCACUACAUCACCAACUGUUAAUUGUCUCAUAUAUGGCUCGGCAUGGGUCUCAAGGUAAGGAAAGCCCUUUGCUUUCGUGAUAAGGUCAUAGAUGUUGCCGUUGAAAGCAUCAGCUACGGUCUUUGAAAUAAGAAGAACCACCAUCAUCAAGGGUAGCAACAGCAGAUUGUUCAUCAGUUCCAAAAGGAUUACACAUAGAGAAACCGUCAUCCUCAUAGAUCCACCAAGAAAAGAAGCAGCACCCAGCUCAGCAAAAAGACCAUGGUUAAGAUUGGAAUGAGAACCAAUCAACAUUCCAACCAAACGCCCAUAAGAUGCACCAGUAACUAUUACAGGAACGAAAAGGCCAGCAGGAGCGACAAUGCCAUAGCUAAGUAUACUCAAGAAAUAACAUGUGACAAAGAACAUAAUUAUAGAAGAGUACUGGAACUCGUCAUCCGUGCCCUUGCUAAAGAGUUUUUUAUUGCAUCAUCAUUUGUGUUCAAUAUUAGGCUGGCAAGAUCAUUGUAAUGUCCAGGAGGACAUUGAAACUUCUUGUAGUUGCCAGAUCGGCCUAUUGUGGGACAGGCUUCUCCAGCAUCAGCCGGACAAACUCGACAAGAUGCCAACCACGGUAGUCCAAACAAGAGACACGACGUGAAAAUUGAAAUCCAGCAAGCAAGCACAAUUUUGUAGGCAAUGCCCUUUCUGAAAGAACAAGGUCAUUGUUGUAAUCAGUUUAUCGUUACUGCAUAAUCACAUACUUGCGAUUACUGAGAAGAAAAGGGAAGAGAACUUACUCGUUGAUGAGGUUGUAGACAUGAAGAACCUUCUCCAGGAAGAAGUUAUACAAGCUACCCAACAAUCCACCUAUCAUACCAAGGAGAAGUACAGGAGGUACAUCAACAAUGUGAUAGGCAACAUUUGAUGAGGUAACAUAAUACAUUAUCAGCCCUCCUUUACCAAAAAGCCCACAUUUCCCACUCAAACAGACGUCAAUGAGAGCCCUCAGCACAAUUGCCACUACAGCUGUAGUAAAGAAAGCUCUCCAUACCAGGGCACUUCUCCACCUGUAAAAGAAAAUAAAGAUUAUGCCAUGCAAAGACAUCACAUAUUUCCAUGGAAUAUAAAAUACUUCAAGGUCUCAGAUAGUCAAUAAGCUGCAGCGAUACAUCUCGAAACCAGAUAAUAAGUGCAAGGAGAGAGUGCAAACACAGCCAAGAACCAAAAACAGGGAGAAACAAACUGGCUGAUAGAACAGAAAGGAAGCCCAGAAUCAUCUCUUCCUGGUAAUCAGAAUAAGUUAAAAUAGGAAUUUACAUAAACCGUUAAUAUCAGAAAACCAGAUUUCUGUACUCGACCAGCAAUUUUUCUCAGCUUUUCAUAACUAAGAUAAAUAUGAUCUGCUAACAAGUCCAAUAUCCAGGACUUUAAGAACAAUGAGAUUUUGCAUUGCAAGGAUUCUAAUUGCUAAAAUAGACAAAUGGAGACAUCAGAAGAAAGCAGUGCAUCACAACAAUUCAUCAUACCAAGAUGCCAUCUCUUCAAGGGCGAACAGCAAACCACCAACUGGGGCACAAAAUGCAGCAGCAAUUCCAGCAGCUGAUCCACAUGUUACAAGGUCUAGCCGAUCUCGAUCAUUCUUGAAAUACCGAAGCCACUUCCAAGUUAAACCAUAUCUCUUUGACCCACCUUGACCCAAUAGUGAUGCGAUACAAGCACCAGUGUGCACCAAGGGUCCAGUCUUGCCAACAAGAAGAGAUGAUGACACCGCACAAACGCUCCCAAUAGUCUGUCGAUUGGAACAUGCCCCAUAAGACUCUCACAAACUUAAGGGAGAACAUCCUUAAAGGCUAUGCCUUAAAAGACAAAUUAGCUGAACAGUUACACUUCCAGGAAUAGGGGAAAAUAUGCAAAUAAAGCUUGAACUAGCACUGACAUCGCAAAUUGAACUGUAAAAGAAUCCGUCGAACGUAGUUGUUUUUGUUAUCCAAAAUAUUUAUAUUCCUGAAGAUAGUCAAAAUUUCAAAAGGGCUUGUAAUUUGAGGGUUUUAGGUAAGUUCUAUUUUAAGGAUACUCCUCUUCUAGGUCAGCCAAAACAAAUUUUUGUCCUACAUAUUUCACUGGUCUCAAGGAAGUCUCUAGAAGAAUCUCUGGGCCAGUAAUCGUCAACGAGCUAAUCAGAAAUAAUGGGUAGAUUCAUCCUCACUGCUUUAAGAGAGGGGAGUACAGAGAAAAGACGAGAGGGAAUAAUUAAUAGAUUAAAUAGAUGAAGACAAAAACAUACGAGAUAACAAUGGCAAUGUUCAAUAGAUAUCACACAUGCCAAUCUGUAAAAGAUCGUGUUAACUCAAAUGGCAACUCUUUUACAAGCAUAACCAUGUUUAUACUCUCUUACAAGCCAAUCAGGCUCUGCUCUCACAUCCAGGAUAGGAAGAGAUGCUUAUGGAAACAUCAAUAAGGAAAUUUUAAGAAAUAUACAACUAGAGACCAACGAAGCAAGAAACCACAUGCAUGAAAUUUCACCUUUACAUAUAAUGUUCUCAAUGUAAAAAUCCCUGUUGCAUCCCCACCAUUGAGGUAAGCCUUAACUUCCGGUAUACCAAUACACUUAGAGACCGACAAAGCAAGAUACCAAAGGCAUGAAAUUUCACCUUUACAAACAACGUUCGCAAAGUAAAAAUUCCUGGUGCAUCCACACCAUUGAGGUAAGCCUUAACUUCCGGAAUACCCGAGCCAGCAGCAGCUGGUGACACCAAUGCUGUGAUAAGGGCCGCAAAUAAAGUAAGCCCGAAAUUGGAAAGAGAAAAAACAAGAAAGGCCAUUCCAAACCUGCGAGAGGAAUUAGGUGAUAUUACCAAGGUUUCCUCCACUCGGAAGAUGAAAAAAGCAAACUUUUACUAACAAAGCAAGUCCAAAGCUUUCUUCUGUGUAGUACAUUUUUUAUCGGAAAUUUCUGCAGUACUCAAGUCUCUGAGAAAACUAAACAGUUCUGAUUGCAAGUUCCUUCGACUCUGCAUGCAUCCACAGAUAACAUACGACCCCCACUUUACACCAAGUCUAUUGUGAUCAAUGCUCUUCAUCAUACAUUACGUCAAAAACACAGCAGACGGCAAUGAUUUUAGCAUUGAUUUCAUUACCUGCGUUGCAACAUCAUAUCUGAAGUGACCACAAACUUAACCCCUGCAAGGUUCUCGACAACUCCACCGAAUUUCCCUCAGCUCUGCCACUCGUCCGUCUCUCUUUCAUCGCCCAGCUGCAGCCGAACCCUCCACUGUCUCUCCCUCUUGCUGUCUCUCCACCGAACCCACGGAUUUCUCCUCGCAGCAUCACCUCCACCACUUGCUGCUCCACUGAUCCCUGCUCCCCGCAGAACCGACGCCAGCACACCACUCACGCCAGUCCACCUUUCUUCCCCGAAGUCAACCUCAGCUCACGCGGUUUCCCCUCUUCGUUCCCUGCCGCGCCAGCUCACCCCGAAUUCUGCUGCACCGAAACAAUUCCUUGCAUCUUCUUCGUCCGCUUCCCCUGCUGCCACGUUCGUGUCUUCUUUCGGUCCAGUCAACAAUUCCCAGCAACGAAGACCAAAGCUGCUCUCUCUCCUUGCUGCGCUGCCUUCGUCCACGACACCACCCACCGAAGCUGCCCCAAAACCGUCUUCUUCCUUCGUCCGUUCAGCCCGCAUCAACGGCCCAGCAGCUCGCCAGCCCAUCCUCGCCCGCAAGUUCAGCUGGCCCAAGUCUCGCGUCCACACCAGCAGCCCACGAAAUCUGCAGCCCAUCUUCAGCAACUCAGCCCACACGAGUUUCAGCCCACUUCAGCCCAGCCUCUGGUCCAGCUCACUUGAAGCCCACGAAGCAAGCCCAACCCGCAGCCCAAGCCCAGGACCAAGCCCAGCAGUUUGCGGUGUGCUUGCAAGGCUUGUUUGGCCCGGCCCAAGCUCCCCUCGGUGUCGCCGUAGGCCUGAGUUUCAGCUGCCGUCGCGGUGAACUGGUUUUCGCACUAAAUCGGUGAGUUUAUGCACUAAACUCUACCUAGUAGGCUAAUGACAUUUAAAGGAUAUUUAGUUUAAGUUAAUUAGGGAUUAGGUGGUUAGUUAGAUUUUAGAUUAGUGAUUUAAUUAGUGAAUUAUGCAUGUUAAGUGUUGAGAUUAAAUUAAUUAAGGACUAGAUAGGAUGUGCUAUUUAUCUAGACAAGUUCAGGAAUUUUUCCCGACCCGUUUAGGUGGUUAAUUUAGCAAUUUUGGCCUAGGUUGGUAUUUAUGGUAAUUAAUUGCAAUUAUUUAAUUAUUUUUUGUAAUUAUUUAAUUAUUAAAUAUUUUUCGGAAAUUAGACCGGGAUAGCUAGUGACCAAAAUUUCGUGCUGAUUGCAAUGAUAUAGUUAAUUUAUGCAAUUGAGUGUUAAUUUGUGCAAAUUGAGUGCUGAUUAGAAGUUUGAGUAUUUAAUUCCAAAAUUUGUGAAUUUUGAUAUUUAUUUAGAAAAUCCCGAGUGUCGAGUUUUAACACCAAAAAUGGUUUCAUAUACUAUAUAAACCAAUGGGAUUUUAAAAAGAAUAUUAUGAAUUUUCCGAGUCCAAUUUGACCGUGUACCCACACACAACUAUUUUCACCGGAUGUUUUUAAUAUAAAGAAAAUAAGCUAGGAUCACUAAUUUAAUUGAGGCAUUUGAGUGCAAUGCAUGGUGUCUUGGGCUAAGAUUGAAUUGUUGUGUGUUGGUUAAGAGAACCUAUCCUAAGCGUUUAUGCUAGACGUUACCCUAUAUGGGAUUUGGGUCGCAAUAGAGUCUGGACCUAUACUCCUUCAGGAAAGCCGUCUUUGAGAGACGUAGCCGCGCUCAAUAGAGUGAGAUAAUGCUUGGCUACGACUACGACAGUAUACCGCCGAACUUCAAAUAGAUCGUACCCUAGAAGGGCAUAAUUAUCAAUUAGAACGCAUGUUAAGUGAAAUAGAUACACCAAAUUAUGGGACAAAAUUGUAUAACAUGAUAUGGGACAUGUCAUAACAAUUUGGCCAUAUAAUCAGGACCUCUAUGAUUUAUUGAGUUGAGUAAUGCGUUUCAAUUAUUGCGUGCAUCAAUUUUAUGCAUGAUAUAUGUGAACCGUAUUGACCUACAUAGUGGAUUUGAAACGAGGUAAGUCUCUGUGAUUGUAUGAUUGUGUGAUUAGGAUGCCUCUAGGCAUAAUACCCUUCUAAUCGGGGUCUGAGAUUUAUAUCUCACCCCGUUGUGGGCUCAAUUUUUAGGGCGGUAGAGCGGAGGACCUAGAGCCGAAUUAAGGGGAUUCGAGGAGUAGGUCAGUUAGGACAAUUUCUUUUUUAGAGUCAGUUUUGAAAUCUUUUGGGUAUUGACUUUUGUACAUGACUCAAUAUGUUUAUAAAAGCAUGUUUGUUUGUGAAUUUGUUGUCCUGCUUUUUUAUUCCGAGAUGAUUACUGUCAGAGAAUUUAUUAUUCGCUUCCGCAUGUGCAAUAAAAUGAAUGGGUUGGUGACUCAUCCUGGGAAGUCGCAAAUUUUAUUGACCAUUGAGAGAUGGGCGCACGCUUGAGGUUUGGGGCGUGACAAAUAUUGUCACGCCCUUACCUUUGGUCGAUUUUAAAAUGCAAUAUUCCAGGACUAUGUAUCGCCGACCCUUUCAUUUAUAUAUGCACAUGCGGAAGCAGUUAUAAAUUCCCAGACAAUAAAACAAUAGGAUAGAUAAGUAGGACUAGAAAAUUGAACCUGGAAGUCAACACUCUUAUGUACAUUUAUAAUGACUCAGUCAUACAUGUACAUAUACAAACCAUGCUAAAAAGGUUGGUUUCUACUCAAUUAGAUUCUACAGCAACAGUCAUCAGGAUCCUACUCUGGAUCAUCCUCGGGGUUCUCCUUCAGAUACUCCUCUUCGAGUUUUUUCUCCUCAGGUUCUUCAUCAGGGUCCUGAAAUGUUUUCCCCAAACUAGGAUGAAACUAUGUCUCAGCAAGUUCUACCCCCUAAACCUGAUUAGUAAACUAAUACACCUUAGGGCUGCCUAUGCACAACGUAAGUCAGAGAACUUACCUUAGCCUCAGAUUCUACUUGCAUAUUAGCACAAUUCAAUAGGCACCUAAGCAAUCACAUCACAGAUCGAAGUAUCGAUCAAAUCGACCUAGUCGAUCACACGCCAACAAGACCACUCACGGUCAUUCCCAUUCAACCAACCAAUUCACAACAUCAGAUCAAAACAAUGAUUGAUCGACUUAGUCGAUUACAUGUCAUUCGGACCAGCUCUCGGUCACAUCAACACCAUACUUUAUAAUCUCCAUUUGGGUACUCAGUCACAGAGCCAGAUGAAUGCUCUCGAGCGUCUUUUUAGCCAAGGUGACGUACCAAUUACCAAUCACGAUAACCUCCAGCAGUACAAUUAGUCACAAAGCCUCAUUAAUGCUCUCGGGCGCUGCUUCCGCCAAGGUGACGUGUAUAAUGGAUAGCACUCAUGCGUUUUUUAAGGCGCCGUUUUCACCAGUGAUAUCCUCCAUCACCGAACCACGUAUGUCCAUACUGCUACAUGUAAUAGACAGCACUUGUGCGUUCUUUAAGGAGCCGUUUUCACCAGUGAUAUCCUCCAUCAUCGAACCAUGUUGUCCAUACUGCUACAUGUAAUAGACCACUCGUGCGUUCUUUAAAGCGUCGUUUUCACCAAUGAUAUCCUUUAAUCACCGAACCACGUAUGUCUCAUUACAUCGGUCCUGAUUGAUUUCAGCCGAGAAUUUCCCCAAUUACUUUCAUAGUUCCCUUUGCUUUACAGCUCAUCAAUGCUAAAUAGUCAUACUCGGCCAUCAACCAUUCAAUCACUCAAAUUUGGGAUAAAUCCCUAAUUUGCACAAUCAAUUCAAUUCCGCGCAAUGUAGAGCUCAAAUAAAUAAACGGAUUGCAUCACGACAAUCAGCAUGAAAUUCCGGUCACUAGCCAUCCCAAUUGAAUUUCUGGAAAAUAAUUAAAUAAAUAAUUAAUUUCGAAAAUUAAAUAAAUAAAUACGAUAAAUUUAAUUUAGCACAAUAUAAAGCUCAAUUAAAUAAACGAACUGCACCACGAUCAUCAGCAUAAAAUCCCGGUCACUGGUCAUCCCAGUUAAAUUUCCGGGAAAUAAUUAAUUAAAUAAAUAAAUUUCGAAAAUUAAUAUUAAAUUCCUAAAAAUUCCUUUUAGGCUUGAAUUGCUUAAAUAAUACCCGAUAAGGGACGGGAAAAAUCCCAAGUAGCAUUCAAUAAAUAGUAUACGUGCCUACCCGCUAAUUGCACAAUCUAAUUGACUAACAUGUAUCACAAUUAUCUAAUAAACACUAAUCUACUCUAAUCUAACCACCUAAUUGCACUUAAUUAAAUUUAAUCAACCUUUAAGUAUAAUUAGAAAACAAGGCAUUAGUGAGUAAAACUCACUUGAUUAAAAGCGGAGACCAGAACACCCCGACGGCGACACGAUGGCGGCCGAACUUGGGCCGACUUGCUUCGCGGGCCCAAGAUGGGUUGAACUUGCUGGGCCUUGUUGAAAUACAAAUGAUGCUGGGCUUGAAACUAAACUGAACUGGGCUUCAAAUUGAGAUGGGCUGAGCGAGCUUGGGCCGAAAUGCACUUGGGCUGCUGAACUCAAGAUGGGCUGAAGCUACGGGCUGCAGAUGGCCCAAUUACUGGGCCGGAUUGAUGCAGGCUUCAAGUGGGCUGAAUUGCUAACUCUUUGGACCGAAGUUGCUGAACUUCAUAGGCUGGCUUGCGUGAAGUUUUUGGGCCGGGCGAAGGAGCAGCAAAGGCCGUCAUUGGGCCUUGACAAUUGAAGGCACGCGUGGCAGAUGAUGGCAGAAGCGGCCGCUCGGUGGAUUUGCUGGGUCAACAAACCGCCUAUGAAGACGCAAGGUUGACUGAAGCUUUGAUGGACCUCGACACCGUGGCAGCUUGGAGUGAAGACCGAAGGAAGUGGACGGCUGCUGGCGGUGGAAUUCUGGCGUGGGGCCACGUGAGCUUCGGUCAACAAAAGCCUCGAUGAAAGAUGUGGCUUCUGCUGGUGACUUCGCUGGUUUGGUGAGACACAAGACAGCGAGAUGGAGGAAGAUCGUGGACUGAGCUGGACUUAGGCCGAUCUUCACGUGGGCUUCAAGUGGGUGCUCGGUGGGCUUCAAUUCGGUGAGAUGGCAGAUGCGAGGAGUCAACAAAAGGGGGCUUCUUUCGUGAGUGGUUGACCAAGCAAAACCACUCCACGUGCAACUGAAGAAAACGAGCAGUUUCGGUGGGGGAAAAGCGUGAAGCUUCGCUGGCAGUUCGGUGAAGAAUCCGAUGGAACGGUCUUCAUUGGCGGAGAAGCUGAGGACAAAGGGAGAGAGAGAUCUUCGAGCGUGUGGCUGGUUUCACUCGGUGGUCUUGGACGCGUGGAGAAGCAAGCUGCUUCGAUGGAUUCGUGCGGCUUUACUUCGGUGGUCAACAAAGUGGAGAGGAUCUGCUGUUGUUGACUGUGGAGUUGUAGGCCGGGGAUGCGUGGAGAGGGCGCCUGGCUUCUCUAGACGCCGUGGCUAAGUGGACGUAGGGCGUGGGAGAUGGAGCAGCUUCGUGGACGGUGGACUGAGCAGAGAGAGAGACGAGUAGGUGGGUGAGGGGGUCUCAGUUGUUGAUGGCCAACCGAAGGAGCUGUGCUUCUUCUCGUCUGCUGGUGUUGGUGUCGCACGAAAUGAAGGAGAGAGAGACUGUCUUGUUGUGAUGAGAGAAAGAGAGAUGGAUAGAGAUGAGAGGUGAGGGGGCUCCACUUGGCUUGAUAUUCCACAACAAAUAUCUCUUUUGUUCCCUAAUCUUGGACCAAAGCCAUAGCUGUCUUCCACCAACUCUUUGCAGAAAAUAACCCCAUCUAGAAGGCUUAAAAGGUCCAAAAGUUAGGUCCUAAGGGGUGCUACGAAUUUCUUAGCGAAGGCUUCAAUUGCACUUAAAUUCUCUCUUGAUUCACUCUCACUUGGCCUCCAUAAAAUUCAUUCACAUCUCAAUUAUCAAAUUGAUAAUUUUCCUCACCCAUACAUCCAUCAUGCAUCUCAAUUUUGCUACCAAAAACCAUUUUCGGCAAUUUCUGCAUUAAAAAAGACCUACCGACAACUUUUUCCCAAAAAGUCUCGGUUGUCAGAAAAAUCUUCUAAGACUGAGUCAAUGUUCCUAAAAUUUAUUGUGACAUGACAAAAUCUGCAAUUUCUGAAAUCGGACUCAGAUUGACGGUUAAUUUCACUCCGAUGUGCUUUUAGCGUGACCUAGGCUAUCGGGUAGUUUUCGAAACUUUUUAGGAUAAAUGACCCGUGGUCGAUUUUCUUCAAGUCACAAUGAACCCACUCGACAUAUUGUCGAUUCUCGAUUGUCGUAAAAAUCUAUAGAAUUCAAAUACUGACAUAGGGUACUAAAACGAUAAUAAGAUCAAGUUAGUGCUGGUCGAUGAGAAUUUUCCAAUUUAGUGGAGUCACUCACGAUCGGUCAUUCAUCCCAGUCGAACCGACCUAUCUCUGAUCUUAAUUCGAUUUUUAACUGUGCCGUAAUGACCUCUAAAGAUGAGCACGGUCGAGAAAUCGAUUCCUGAUCGAAUUCUUAAGUCUAUCUGCCUCAAAGUCCUUUAAUAGCUUACCCAGUUAGUCUAGUUAUCUCGUGAGUAGCCAACUCAGAGAAAAACACUGUAGUCAUGUCACGCCCCGAUCCUCGGGCACGCACACAUCUUUCUACUUGGUCGAUUAUAUAAUGCGAUAUCCCAGGAAUAUGUAUCGCCGACCCUUUCAUAUAUUAAGCACAUGCGGAAGCAGUUAUAAAUCCCCAGACAAUAAAACAAUGGGAUAGAAAAGCAGGCUAUAUUUUUCAUAUUGAAAUCUAUAACCAAACUUUUAUACAUGGCAUUAAACAUAACACUUCACAAAAUAAUCACAACCUAUUAGCCUCACUCUAUCUACACAUAUACAAAGGGUUCACAAAAGAUGGGAUUUCAAUCCUCAUCUGGGUCAUACUCAGGAUCAUCCUGAUCCUCCUCUGACUCCUCUUCACUUAGAUCAUUCUCCUCCAAAUCAUCAUUCCCUUCUUCAGCUUCAUCCUCGGCUUCCGACACCGGCUCAUCUUCAGGCAUCUCCUCGGCUGCUCCCCAAUCUUCUUCCUCCUCCGGAGUUUCCACUUCCUGCUGCUGGUCCCUCACAUCCACUACCGAUCCAUCCGCUCGGUCGACUGUUCCUUCUCCAAAUGCCUUCUCCAUCACAUCAAAAGGCACAUCCUCUUCUGGGAUAGGACCUUCUCUGCGCCCAUCAAAGUAAUCACGGUACCAAGACCGAUACUUGUGGGGCCUCUGGUCUUCCUUCCCCACAUUGACCCAGAUGGUCGACUGGACUAAAACGUAUACCAAUCCUUCCGGGUGAGGGUGGACGUGGAAAUGGGUCUCAAACUCAGAAAUUUGCUCCGGAACACCAUAAUGCAUACGAGGACGAGGAGGUGGAGGUCCUGCCAUUCUAAGGGCCUGAAAUGAUAUCCCACAACCGGGAUGAGACUAGGUCUCAGCAAGUUCUACCCCACUAAGCCCGAUUAGUAAACCAUUAUACUAUAGGCUGCCUAAACACGCACAAGGCAGAAGACGUACCUUGGCCUCAGAUCCCACCUGCAAGUCAGUACAAUUCACAAUAGGCACCCAAGCAAUCACAUCACAGAUCGAAGCAUCGAUCUAAUCGACUUAGUCGAUUUCACAUCAGGAAGACCACUCACGAUCAUCUCCCUUCAAUCAUCCAAUUCACAACAUCAAACCAAGGCAAUGAAUCACAUCAAGACACUCUCAGAUCGAAUCAUCGAUCAAUCGACCUAGUCGAUUACAUGUCAUCACGACUCGCACUUGGUCGGCACAUUCCAUACUAUCUAUAAAUCCGACCAUAGUCCAGGACUGCUCACUCUAAGCUGAUAUAUAGAUAGUAUAGCUCGCACUAAGCUGAUAGGGUUAAGGUAUACUGCUCUCGCUAAGCUGACAUAUCACCCGUAGGCUGAUAUAGUAUACCGGUAUACUGCUCUCGCUAAGCUGACAUAUCGCCCGCAGGCUGAUAUAGUAUACCCCCGAUGCUCACACUAAGCUGAUAAAGUGUACUGCUCGCACUAAGCUGACAUAUCGCCCGUAGGCUGAUAUAGUACACCAGUAUACUGCUCUCGCUAAGCUGACAUAUCAGAGCCCGUAGGAUGAUAUAGUAUACUAUCCAACCAUUCAAUCCAUUCCAUCUUUUAUCCUUCUCGAUAAAAUAGCCAUGUAUGGGGACACGGUCGGCCUUAGCCAAAAUAUUAUAAUUUCCUUUUUCAUAAUUCCCACCAUUCUCUACAACCCACCAAAACACUUUUGGUGCUGUCAACCGACACCCGGUUAUUUUCCAAUUAAUAAUCAAAGAUUAUUCCAUUAAAGAAUAAUUCCCAAUUUCACAAAUAAUUCAAUUCAGCACAAACUAAAGCUCGAUUAAAUAAACGAACUGCGCCACGACGAUCAGCACGAGAUUUCGGUCAUCGGCCAUCUCAAUCUUAAUUUCUGAAAAAUAAAUAAUUAAUUAAUUAAUUUCGAAAAUUAAUUAUUAAAUAUUAAAAGUUCCGAUUAGUUCAAAAUAAGGCCCAAUUAAAUAAACGGACUUCGCCACGGUCAUCAGCAUAAUUUUCCGGUCACGGUCCAUCUCAGUUGAAUUUCCGGAAAAUAAUUAAUUAAUUAAUUUCGAAAAUUAAUAAUUAAUUAUAAUAAAUCCAAUUUAGCUCAAAUUGGUGCUCAAUUAAAUAAACGGACUUCACCACGAUCAUCAGCAUAAUAUUCCGGUUCUAGACCAUCUCAGUUGAAUUUUCGGAAAAUAAAUAAUUAUUUAAUUUAAUUCAGAAAAUUAAUAUUUAAAAUACCAAAAAUCCACUUAGGCCCGAAAAGCCUAAUUGGAGCCCACCAAGGGUCGGGAAAAAUCCUGAGGCACUUCCAAUAAUUAGUAGACCACGUCUACUUGAUAAUUGCGCAAUCAAUUUAUCUAAAUCACAUUACAAUUGACUAAUAAUUGCUAAUUUAUUCUAAUCUAACAACCUAAACAUAAUUAAUUAAAUCUAAACCAACCUUAAGCAUAAUUAGCCAACUAAUCCAGGAUUAGUGAGAUUACUCACCGGAAUCGCACGCAAAACGUAUCAAUCCGACGAGGACGACACGAGGAACGAUUCCUCCCAAAGCGACCCACGGAUCCGGGGCCCGAAAACGGCCCAAAGCGAGCUCGAAGCUGGCUGGAAACCCACACGACGGGGUUGCUGGAUCGGCUACAAAACAGAGAAAAUAGAGAGGAAUAGGGGCGGCAAGGGUCGGGAAGGAUGGAUGGAGCUCCGGGGAGGCUGCACGGCGGCCGAUCGAAGCUGGGCGGAGGUCCGGCGGUGGCUGAACGGAGACUGAAUAGAAGCUGCAGGGGUCGGGUUGCAGGGGAAAAACGGCACACACGGCCAGGCGGAGCACACGGCGUCGCGCGGGCGGUGGCGCGGCAGCUCCAUUGCGACGGCGAGCGGCUCCGAUCUUAAAACGACGGUGGCUGAUGCUUCUGCUUUGCUGUCUUUGCUGGUUCACACAAACAGGGGAGAAGGAGAGAGGAAGGGCGGCGACGCUGGCUGAGGGGGCGAGAGAGGCGGAGGCGAGGCGCGGAGCGCGAGCGGCGGUGCGGCGGCUCCGAUCCCAGGCGAGCUUCUUCGGUUUUCUUCCCUCGGCGAGGCUGUCUCCGCUUCUGUCUUCUGUUUUCUGUUCGAACCGUGAGGGGGAGAGAGAGUGUCGAGGGAGAGAGAAGGAGAGGUGAGAGAGAGAGAGAAGAAAGAAAGGAUAAGUAUGAGGGAGUUUGACUGGUCAAUGAAGAAAAGCAAAGUGGAAGCCAGCAGAGGCAAUCGGUGGGGGUUCACGCACGAGGGAAAAAAGGAAAAAGAGAGAGAGAGAGAGAGAAAAAGAUAAAAAGAAAGAAAGAGAGAGAGGGAAAAAGGGAAAAAGUGUGUUUGGCUACAAAGGGAAAAGAAAUGGGAAUAUCACAAAAAUAAAAGGAUUUCCUCAAAUAGAAAAUCCAAAUCCCAAUUUCUUUUUAAAUUGGCUCAUAGAAAAUUCAAGAAAAUAUCAACUUAGAUUUCUUGGUCCCCACUUGCCAUUGCAUCCAAAAUCCCUCUUAAAUUUCUCUCAAAUAACUCUCCCAAAAUCAAUUGAUAUUUCCAUUACCAAAUUGAUCAUUUCUUUAUCCAAGAAUCCCCCACACUCCUCGAUUUCACCAUCAAAAUUAAUCCGCGACUUCAACUGAACGAAAACGGCCAUAAUCUGACUUUUUCCCAAAAAGUCUUGGUUGUCAGAAAAAUCUUCUGAAACUGAGUCGUAGAUCCUAGAAUUUAUUGUGACACGACAAAACCUUUCAAUUUCUGAAAUCGGACUUGAAUCGACGGUUAAUUUCAAUUUGGCGCGUUUUUAGCGUAACCUAGGUUACCGGGUGGUUUUCAGAACUUUUUAAGGCAAAUAACCCGUGGUCGAUUUUCUUCGAACCACUAUGAACCCAUUCGAUUCAAUGGCGACUCUCAAUUGUCGUGAAAAUCUCGAGAAUUCAAUUCCGGACACAGGGUACCAAAACGAUAGUAAAAUCAAAUUAGUGUCGGUCGAUGAGAAUUUUCCAAUUUAGUGGAGUCACCCACGAUCGGUCAUACAUCUCAGUCGAACAGACCUAUCUCUGAUCUUAACUCGAUUUUUAACUGUGCCGCAAUGACCUCUAAAGAUGAGCACGGUCGAGAAGCCGAUUCUUGAUCGAACUCUCAAGUUUAUUGCCUUAAAUUUUCUUAAUUACUUACCCAGACAGCCUAGUUAUCUCAAGAGUGAUCAGCUCCGAGAAUAGCCCUAUAAACGCAUCAACGAAAUGCCCGAUUAAUUCAGUAGAAAACAGGUUGAGAAAUUCAGGAUGUCACAAGUCACGUUGAUGAAAUGCCCAAUUUAUCCCAUCGAAGUCAGAGCCUGAAAAUCUGGAUGUCACAAAUAUCACCUACGAGAUUGAUCAUCUUUAUUAGAAACAAUUUAUAUACAUCAAAUCUUUUCGGAUGGUAAAUUAUUUUGGAAACAAUUUCCUAAUUGUAUGGGCGAAUAGAAUUGAUGGGCUUUCAUCACAAUCUUCAAACGGCUCGAAGAUUUUCUUGAUUGAUUCUGUCCAACGGGUUGAUUGGAAGAAUUUAUUUGGAAAAUGCUAAUGGUCGAGAAGGCAUGGAGGAGUAUUUAAGGAGGACUCUCCAGUUGUUGAAUAGAGUAUGUGAAAAGAACAAUUUCAAAGUCUGAAACUUACCAUUUACUUGUUAUUCCUUACUCUGUGCUCAAAUUUGUACUCAAGAGAGAGAGAGAGAGAGACUUUGUGAAAGCAGUAAAGACUCUUCACUGUGAAGUCGAGAUCAUAAGAUUGUAAAUUUUUUUUUUGAUUCUUAGUGGAAACAAGUCAGAAGGCUGUCAACGUGGGAGAGUGGACGUAGGCUUGAUCUAAAUCGAAUCACUAUAAAUUCUAUGUUCCUUUUCUCAUCCUUAAACUCCUUUAUUUUAUUCGUACUUCAAUUUUGUAGUUAAAGUAUAAACUCUUUUAAAGUUUGCUGAUCAUUAGACUCAGUUUCAAAAGCAAAAUUUCUUAGUACUCUUUGCAAAAAUUAUUUUCACACCUAUUCACCCAUCUCUAGAUGUUCAUAUUAGCACUUUCAACACUAACAGACCAUACACAUACUAUUCAUUAUGACAGACACCAGAUGUCUAAAUAAUCAAAGUCAUAUUGAACUAAUAAAAGAGGUUGGUCAGGCAAGAAGACCACAGCUCUCUUCCUUUUGGGUCGGCAAGCACUAGUCUGCUGUCGACAGUCAACCAGACUUUCGAACCUUCAGGUGCUAGACUAUCGCCAUUUGCCGACCAGACUUUAGUCUUGUCCUCUAUCUUCUCGAACGAUAUAGCCAACAAAUGAGCUCCUGUUCCCAUUCUCCGGAACCCAAAGGCGAACUCCCCCGACGGCGAAAGCCAGGAAGAGUUCCUGUCAUUUGCUGUUAAGGAGGAGCCAAGGUCAAGUUGCCCUCGGUCUGAGCUUUGGCGGAAAGUGGAAGUGGGAUGAGUAUUAGGAUUCCAAACAUCACUGAAGUCAUGUUAGAUGAAACUUGCGUGCUCCUUGAGCUACUUCAGCCUUGUGAACGAAACCAGCAUUCUUUAUAGAUUUCUACUUUGUAUCCUACCUUAGUCUCUCCCACAGCUAGUUUGAAUCGAAUUUGUGGACAGAGUUUGCCCAUGUCAACACAUAUAUCUAGAAUUAUCCUAUGAUAGUAUUCCUUGUUUUUGUUUCUUUUUUGUUGAAGUAUAUUAAUAGUUCUAUUAAUAUAUUGAGUAAAGUUUACAAAAAAUUAUCUUAUAAUAGUAUCACUGAUAUUAAAUUUUUCUGAUAAUAAUAUCUAUGUAAAUUUAUUUUUCUUCAUUUUCUUUAGUUUUCCCUUCUUUUUUCUAAUUGAAAUCAAUGGUGAAAGAAAACUUUCAAAUUUAGAAUACGGGCGAGUCUACACCAUUACCUUGCCGGGACCCUGAUAUUUUCCAAAGAAAAGCAUGAAUUUGGAAGACUUUGACCAAACGUCGUACACGUUAAGUUGGAGAUUUUAUGAGUUAUGGAGAAGAAGUCAGGGCUUGCAGUUGAUUCAAUCCCUAUCGCAGGGAUCCAGGCUGACCCCCUAGCCCCGUGAGGGGCUUGUGGACGGGUAGGUCAAUGGGGGUUGAAUCUUUUUCGAGGCCAACCCCGGCCUCUACCCAAACUUUCCUAGUGGUCAGAGCCUUUUAAUAACGAAUUCAAACCGACUAGAGAGUUACUUAAUGGAAAUUGAAUGUUUCAAUCAUAAUUGUAGAUAUCCUCGGACGUACGUGGAAAGUUGCUUUGUCAUCUUGCAUCAGGCAUGCGCUCAAUAGUUGCGGACUGUGGUCCAUGGCGUUGUGGUGAUCAAUGCUUUGAAUGAGACAGGUCUCUGUGCAACAUGGAAAGUAAUGGCUACAGCAAUGAUGAAUGAAUGUAAUUCUGCAGAUAUUCUACUAAAGUUUGCUUGUAGUAGUUCCGGGUUUCGAAACUCCUGUAUGUUUGAUUAAAUGGAUGUUGUGGUGACACGACUAUCCUAUUCUCAUGGACUUAACAACAGUAUGCAAAAUGUAGCGCAUCUAAAAGCUAUUUGGUUUACAUUAUGACCCAAUUGCACUUUUGUAAUAAGUUUAGAACUUUCAGUAGACUUAUCCUCUAAAAAUAUAGAGCAUUUAGAGCUAUAGAAGAUCAAUGAAAAUAUAGAGCAUUUAGAGCUUAUAGAAGAUCAAUGAAGUGUCAAGUCAACAACUUUAAAAAAAUCUAAUGGAUGCCCACUGGAGAGAGGUAAGGUAAAUACUCGACUUUAAAUUUCGAUUUAGUGCUCCAUAUGUGAUAAACGAACCACAAACGAAAACCUUCUAGGACAUCAAGGUGAUGAAGAUUAGAGAUGGAUGGAUUUAAACGGAGCUUGGUUUACUCAUGCUAGAUAGACAUGGUUUUUGCUUGGGUACUCAUUGUUGAUGCCUAUAAUUAGGGAUUUAAUCGGUUGAUCCUUAGAAAAAAAUUAUAUAUAUAUAUAUAUAUGGGCGUGUGUGAAUUUGCAUUAUUUAACAAACUUCAUGCUUCUCCCUACAUUUCAUCGCAAAUAAAGGGGAUUGUGAUUUUUGCUACAUCAUGGGAGACUCGACUUGAAGAGAACAUUGAAGCCUUUGAUAUCAUUUUCACUCAUACAUCAUCAACACAGCGGUCUACAAAUAUUCACCUUGGGGAUUGUUUUUAGUUCUAAUUUUCAUCAUAAAAAAUCCUAAGGAGAAUGAACCAAGUUGUGGCCGAACCAAGCAGCAACGCCAAACCCUAACUCCAGAUAAUUUAACCGGGGCCGGCCACAUGAAGAUGAUAUUGGGCCACAUGCUCUCAAAUUGAGCGUGCAUUGGACAAGGAGGAAGUAUAUUCUUUGAAUGGAAUGGCCUCAUGCAUGCAUGCAGAGGAAACAAGCUCAUAAUUGUCUAAUGACUUUCUUCUUCGCCAGCUGCAUGAACAGGGGCAUUCACCUACUUCUAUGAAAUUGGCGCAAGCAGACUUUUUCCGGAGCGAGAUAAACGAAAGAUGAAGCCCUUGACCAAAACAUCGUCCGUCCUAUCGAAUCGAGAAUAUGACAUGAAAAUGAUGGUGAACGAGCUGGCAGACACCGUGGCUGACUAAGACAACUAUGAAAUCGAUCCCAUUAACACUUCUCCGGUGCAGAUUGAUUAUUGGAUUUGGAUCUUCGAGAUCUCUCCCUUGUCCAGUCCCGUCCUGUUUGGACCCGUUAUGGAAUGGCAUGACCGUAGCCGAGUUGUUUACAUAUACAAGAUCUCCAAUGAUCAUUUUAUAAGGGAAUAUGUAUGCUUAGAAAAUUGUCUGCCUUGUGUUGCUUCCCGCAAGUUCUCAAAUGGAAAAUUGAGAGAAAAUUCGUCUGAUUAUGCUUCCAACUACGUGAUUUGCGGACUGAUUUUUUGGGCUAUGACAAGUUGGUCGCCCGAAGGAAGUGAGAGUCCCCUUCUGUAUGAAUAAAAAAGCAGCAGAGCUAUUGAAAUUGGGAUUUCCGGGCACCCGAUUCAUGCCUUGAGGACCGGCAACUUCCAUACGGUUCUCAUCAUCUAAUUUAGCAGAGAAGAUCUACUUUGCUUGGGUCAGGUUGAAACACUGUUCUACUGCAUCGAAUGCAAUUUUUAUGAAGCAUGCAAUCCUUUCUGCUGACAAUCGUCAACAUGUUCUCUGUUGGAUACUUGCGAGGGAAUAUCAAACUUUAGGAAGAUUUAGCUUAUUUAAGCGGGAUCCAUGUGAAGACAUUAUGAAAAUAUUUGAUCUGGCAUAAUAGCACUUACAUACGGCAUGGAUAUUUUUCAUGAUUACAGACAACGGUUGUCUUAAAUAAGCAAAAUCAUAUUGAAGUAGUAAAAAAGCUUGGAACUGGUGGUACUGGGACUUCAACCACUCCUUCCAACAUCUGAGUAGUUUUCUUCAUGGCCGGCCUCAAAGCCGGAUCUUCCUGGAUGCACCACAAUGCUAUCAUCACAAAUCUUUUCACCAUCUUUAUGUCCCUUGAUGCCUCCUCAUCGCUCUCCACUAGCUGAAGUACACUCCCGUCGUGGUAGCAGUUAUAAACCCAGUCGACCAUUACAAUUUGAGCUUCAAUUUCCGCUUUCGGCUCAUAGUUCUUUUUGCAGCAGAUAAGCUCAACCAACAAAAUGCCGAAGCUGUAAACAUCUACUUUGCUAGAAAUAGGCAUAUUCCUUAACCAUUCUGACGCUAAAUAACCUCUGGUUCCUCUGACUCCGGUGGUGGUUCGUGUUUGGUUUGCCUUCAAGAGCAUAGCUAAUCCGAAAUCUGAUAUUUUUGCAGUGAGAGAGCCAUCAAGAAGAAUAUUUUGCGGCUUGAUGUCGCAGUGGAUUAUAUGUCUAGUGCAUUCCUCGUGCAAGUAAGAGAGCCCCGCGCAACAUCACAGUUAAUUUCUACUCUUUUGUACCAGCUAGGCCUUGAAGAGCCAAAUAGAAAAUCCGCCAAUGAGCCGUUGCUCAUGAAUUCAUACACUAAUAGUCGAUGUUGACCCUCAUUGCAGAAUCCAAGCAACUGCAUUAAGUUCUUGUGGUUAGUUUGGCCAGUUGCACUCACUUCUCUUUCGAACUCCUUUUCACUUUCUCCGGUCCAUGCCAUCAACAUUUUUACUGCCACAAAGUUGGUAUCCUUGGAUCCAAGAACACCUUUGUACACUGCUCCAAAGGCACCCCUACCUAGUUCUUCUUUGAAUCCAUCCGUCGCUUCUUGAAGCUCCUGAUAAGUGUAAGUCAGUGUGCCUGUGGCUUGGUUGAUCUGGACUAGUUGUAAGAACUUAUAAUCCCUAGAUCGGGAACUUCUAUAAAUUACACAGGUAAGCAAGCUCACAAACACACAGCUACUCAACAGCACUGAUUCAAUAAUCAUCAGAGUCAAAUUCUUGCUUGGAUUUCUUCUGGUGAUUUUGUUGGAUUAAUAGUGUCUCAGUUGUUGUUUUCUGUUUUUUUUUUCUACUCUAUUUUCCUCUGUUUUUUUAUUAAAAAACAGCCAAGUGCAUUUAGUGUUUUUUGCUAUUUUCUAGGAAGUGAAUUAGCACGUUUAGGUGCAGUUAUAUGCUGCACAUGUGUGUGGUUUGUAAGUAGUUUUUGUUCUUGUUUAAGUUGUCCUGUACUUGACAGUUUCCUUAGAAAACUGACAUACGCAAGUUUGUGCUAUGUUUUCUCUGUGCUUUUUUUCCUCAUUCAAAAACUAUAGCUUCUGGUUUUCUGUUUCUAGUUUACUGUUUUGAUCAGUAACAACAGUGGUAUCAGAGCGUGUAUGAUCUUGAGGGACUGUGAAGUGAAGCAAGUAUCGAAGUGUAAAGAAGUUAAAGGGUGAUGGAGACAGGGUCGAGUGGUUUCUCUACGAUGGCUUCUCCAGUAUUUACCGGAGAGAAUUAUCAAGCAUGGGCUGUUAAGAUGACAUCAUUUUUGGAGGGUCAUGAUUUGUGGGAAACUGUGGAGGAUGAUUAUGAAGUUGCUCCACUUCCAGAUAAUCCGACCAUGAAUCAAAUCAAACUUCAUAAAGAGAGAACCACAAGAAGAGCCAAGGCAAAAUCUUGCCUGUAUGCUGCUGUCUCGCCUACCAUCUUUACCAGAAUUAUGAAGUGUGACUCUACAAAGGCCAUAUGGGACUUCUUGAAGGAAGAAUAUGAAGGGGAUGAGAAGAUAAGAGGUAUGAAGGUGCUGAAUCUCUUGAGAGAAUUUGAGAGACAGUAGAUGAAAGAGUCUGAGUUAGUGAAGGAAUACUCUGAUAGGCUAGUGGGGAUAGUUGAUAAAAUCAGAGUUUUAAGGAUUGACUUGAAGGAUGAAAGGCUUGUUCAGAAGAUCCUGGUGUCUCUUUUAGAGAAGUUCGAAGCCACCAUAGCGUCUCUGGAAAAUACAAGAGACUUACCUGAUAUAAAGCUUGCAGAAUUGUUAAAUGCUCUACAGGCACAGGAGCAUAGAAGACUGAUGAGAAGAGAAGAGUUUGUAGAGGGUGCGCUGCAAGCUAGAGUGAAAUCAAAUGAUGGAGGCAAAGGGAAGAAAUGGAUUCAAUCUAGAGAAAAUGCUGGUGACUCCAAGUUUGUAGCAAAAGAAGGAAAUUCUGGUGGGUCUAGCAAAUGGAAGAAGAACAAAGAGCCUUGUCAAUACUGUGGUGGAACUAAUCAUCAGUUUUUUAGACGUUGGAGAAAGCCUGAUGCUAGGUGCAGAAGAUGUCACAAGUUGGGUCACAUGGAAGCCAUCUGCAAAGAGAAAAAUUACCAGCAAGCAGGAGAAGCCUAGGUAGCAGUGAAUGAAACUAAGGAAGAGCACUUGUUUGUAGCUUCUUUUUCUGAAUCUUUUGUUGGGAAUGAUGCAUGGCUGGUGGAUAGUGGCUGUACCAAUCAUAUGACUGGCAAUUCAAAGCUGUUUAGGAUUCUAGACAAGUCAGUUAGGUCCAAAGUCAGAAUUGGCAAUGUUUAGUAUAUCGAAGUGCAAGGGAAAGGUACGGUGGCUAUUGAAGGAAAUCAGGAGGUGAAGCUGAUCAGUGAUGUUCUUUUUGUGCCAAAUAUUAACCAUAAUCUGUUAAGUGUUGGUCAAUUAGUUCAGAAUGGCUAUAAAGUGAAGUUUGAAGGGAAGGAAUGUCUUAUUAAUAAUGCAAAUAGCAAAGAAGUGCUAAGAAUUCCAAUGGAGGACAAGAGUUUCAUUUUCAAGCCACAAGAGAUGCAACAAAUGGCUUUAAAGUGCAAAGAAGAAAAUACAGAGAUAUGGCAUAAAAGACUUGGGCAUGUUCACAGGAAGAGCAUGUCGUUUAUGUAGAGAAAUAGCUUGGCAGAUGACUUGCCAAGUUUGGAGGAGGAAUUUCCACAGUGCAAAACUUGUCUUCUUGGCAAGCAAGCCAUAUUUCCUUUCAAAGGAGGAGGCAGGAGAGCAUGUGAGAAGCUGCAAUUAGUCCACACAGAUCUAUGUGGACCUAUUUUUGAGUCUUCUCUUAAUGGUAGUAGGUAUUUCAUUACCUUCACUGAUGAUAUGACUAGAAUGAGUUGGAUUUAUUUUUUGCGAACCAAGUCUGAAGUUGUUGAUGUGUUUGUGAAGUUUAAAGCCUUAGUUGAGAAUUAGAGUGGGAAGAAAAUUAAAAUGCUCAGGUCUGAUAAUGGUUCUGAGUAUACUGCUCACAAGUUUAAGUUGAAUUGUGAGCAAGCAGGAAUUGUGCAACAGUUCACUGCUCCCUAUUCACCUCAACAUAAUGGGGUCAAUGAGAGGAAAAACAGAAGUAUUAUGGAGAUGGCCAGAUGUAUGAUGCAGGAGAAGAUGUUGCCUAAGAAGUUCUGGGCUAAAGCAGCUAAUACUGCAGUGUUCCUGUUGAACAGAUUGCCCAUAAAGGCCUUAGAGAGGUCAACACCUUUUGAAGUCUGGUAUGGUGUUAAACCUUCUGUGAGAAAUUUGAAGGUUUUUGGGUGUUUGUGUUACACUUAUGUUCUUGAGGUCAAGAGGGACAAGCUGGAUAAGAAAGCAGAGCUUGGAAUCUUCAUUGGGUACAGUCUCCAUGUCACGCCCCGAUCCUCCGAGCGCACGCACAUCCCACUUUGGUCGAUUCAAAUGCGACUUCCCAGGACACGUCGCCGACCCAUUCAGUUUUAUUGCACAUGCGGAAGCGAAACAAAUCCCCUGACAACUUUUAACUUGGGAUAGAAAAGCAGGCAAUCAAUCACAACCAAACAAGCUUUCUUAUAAACACAUAGGUUUAUAUACAACACUGGAUUGUCUACAAAAUAGACAGGCUCAACAACUAGGGAACUGUCCUAUGACCAACUUGUCAGACACGUUCGCCGAUUCUUCAGCCUUCACCUUCCGAACUCCAGGACUUUCGGUCCUCCACGACCGUCAUAUAGGGACCUGAAAUAUUAUCCCACAACCGGGAUGAGACUAUGUCUCAGCGAGUCCUACCAUCUAAAACUCAAUUAGGGAGAAAAUACGCCUCAGGGCGCUCUAGCCACACAAAUAGAAUAGAGGACUUACCUCGCCUCAGUUCCUUUCCUGCACGUCAGUACAAUUCAUAUUCAAACAAUGCUCGCACAAGCUGAAUCUACCGACAUACCCAUCGGUCUAUCAAUUCAGUCAAUCCAAUUGAUAUCAUACGAUCCACACAUCUAUCAAUUCAUAUCAUCUAUUAAACCAUACCAUCUAUUCAUCCAUCAAUACAAUUACGGCUCGCACAAGCUGAAAUGGAUGCAAUGCUCUCACAAGCUGAUAUAGAUGGUAGCUCGCACAAGCUGAUAUAUACAUAGAUGAUAGCUCGCACAAGCUGAUAUAUGGAUCGUUGCUCUCACAAGCUGAUAAACGAUCAUUGCUCUCACAAGCUGAUAUAUAUAUAUAGAUCGUGCUCGCACAAGCUGAUAAAACGAUCUUAGCUCACCAGAAGCUGCCAUAUAUAUAUGUAUAUGUAUAUCAUAAUUGCUCGCCCAAGCUGAUACAUAUAUAUAAACCAAUGCUCACCAAAGCUGAUAAUUCAAUAAUAAACCAACUCAUACCUCAAUUCAAUCAAUCAAUCAAUCCAAUCGAUUCAAACUGGUCAUACAAACCAAUUACGGUGCUAAAAGCCAACACCGGGUAUUUUCAAGUUAAAUACCACAACUUCAUCAAUAUCACUCAAUUCCACACUUUUGGAAUUAUUAACCAAAAUCAUCAAUCACUCAAUUUCUCCAUUUAAACAUACAAUUAACACAAACCGACCGCACUGCUACGAUCAGCGCGAAAUUCUAACGACCAGCCAUCCCGGCAUAAUUUUCGAAAUUAUUAAAUAAUUAAAUUUAAUUCCGAAAAUUAAAUAAUUAAAUAUUAUUUUAUAAUAAUAUAAUUUAAUAAAAUAAUAUUUAUAAAUUCGAAAUAAUUAUUUAAUUAAAAAUAAUUAAUUAGGGCUUAAACUAGAUUACACUAAUUUAACAUACAAUUAGCCCUAAUUAAACAUCCAUUAAACUAAUCAUACAACUAAUCUAAUUUACAUUAAAAUAAUCUAAUCUAACCACCUAAACCUAAUUAGACUAAUCUAAACACCCCUUAAGCGUCAUUAACUCACUAAGCAAGAAUUAGAGGAUAAACUCACCGGAUUAACAUUCCGGCGAGUCCACGGCGAAGGCGACGCCAAGGCGGGCAAUAAACCUCGAGGCGGCGACACCAACCAAGGCCGGGAAGACACCUAAAACGGGCCUCGAAGACCUCACAGCUUUCUGGUUUUCUGCUUCUGAUCUAGGCUGAACUGCAGAGAAGAAACCAGCAACUUCAACGGCGAAAACGGGCCGAUCGGAGCUCCGGCAAGCGGGUGGUUGGCAACCAAUGGCUCCCGGGGGUCUUGGGGAUCUUGUAGGAGGUUGGGAUGGGCAAAGGAAUGGUCGGAAUGGGGCGAAACAGCAAGAAAACCCGAAACAGGCGGAGCAGGGCGGAACCAGACGGUCCGGCGAGCGGCAGAUUCGGGCGGCCGUACGGGACGGCCGGAGAAUCGUUCCGGCGAGCGGCGAGGUGCUCUGGAACGGUCUGGAUGUCCUCUUCGCGGCGAUGGGUGGCUCGUUCGCUAAUUCAACCGGGAAGUUAACUUUUUACUCGGAUCUUUGGCGAAAGGUCGGCUGGAGCAGAAACUGGAACGAGGGGAAAACAAGGGAGGAAAACGGCCGACGAUGGCCUUCCGGGCGUGCGACGAUGGAGGGGCUAGUGAGCUCGGUUUCCUCUGGUUCUCUUGAGCUCUUCCUCAGCCUCAACCAUGGAGAAAGCCAUGAAUAAAGGAAGAAGAUGGUCUGCUGAAGAGGGGGCCUCCUUGGUGGCUCACUAGAGCUCAACACUUGUCUAAACCUCAUUUGCUUUGCCCCCACCAUGACAUCACAUGACAUCAUCCACUCUCUCUCCUCAAUCUUCCUCCACAACCUUGCCAAUAGGUGCAAAAUAGCUCUCCCCCCAUGGUAUACGAAUUUCAUACGUUUGUACAUCAAAUUCAAUCAAUUCUCACUCAAUUCCAUCCAAUUGAAGUUCAAUUAAAUCAACCCAUGUGUCCUCGGCCUUCUCAUGACAUUUCCCCGCCAAAUGAUCCAACUUGCAUCCCGAAGAUUCGAUUAAAAACGGCCCUCUAACAAUCCCGAACAAAAACGGCAUUACUUUGCUUUUCCGCCAAAAAUCUCGGUUUGUAGAAAAAUCUUCUGGAGAUGAGUCGACGUUCCUAAAAUGAAUUGUGACUUGACAGAACUUCCAAUUUCUGUAAUCGGGUUCAAUUUCACGGUUAAAUUCAAUCUGGCGCGACUUUAGCGCGUCCUAAUCUACCGGGUAGCUUUUAGGAAUUUUCUAUGCAAUUGACCUGUGGUUGAUUAUUUUCAAGCCACAAAGUGCAUCUUCGACACAUUGGCGACUCUUGAUUGUCGUAGAAAUCUCAAGGUUUCAAAUACGGACACAGGGUACCAAAACGAUAGAGAAAUCGGUCUAGUGCCGAUCAACAAGAAUUGUGCAAUUAGGUGGAAUCACCCACACUGAAUUACAUGGUUCUGUUGAAUCGACCUAUCUCCGGUCUCUAAUCGGUCUGUGCCGUAAUGACCCUUGCAGAUUAGUACGGUCGAGCAGUCGGUUCCUGGUCGAAUUCUCAAGUCUAUUGCGUUUAGAUUCCUUAACGGCUUCACCUGAUAGACUAGUUAUCUCGUGAGUGGCCAACUCAGAGAAGAAAGCUAUAGACGCGAAGAUGAAAGGCCCGACUUAUUUAAUUGAAACCAGAAUUGGAAAAUCGGGAUGUCACACUCCAAUCAAAGGCUUACAGAAUUUUUCACCCUAUGACAGGGAAGGUGACUGUAAGCAAAGAUGUUGUUUUUCUAGAGGAAGAUGAGUGGAAUUGGAUGGAAGGAAAGAGUGCAAAACAGCAACAAUUCGAAAAACAACCUGCAACAGAUGUAGAGGUUGAUGAAGUUAUAGAUGGAUUGAAAGACAGUGUGGAUGAUUUACCAGUGAGAGGCACAAGGUCAUUUGCCGAAAUCUAUGAAAGAAGCAAUGUGGCAAUGCUCGAACCAUCUAACUUUGUGGAAGCUAAGGAGGAUCAAAGGUGGAUUGCAGCAAUGCAGGAGGAGAUUUCAAUGAUCUAGAAAAACCACACAUGGGAGCUUGUGGACAGACCAUCUGAUAAGAAUGUAAUUGGGGUUAAGUGGGUGUUUAUAACAAAACUUAAUCCUGAUGGUUCUGUUAAUAAAUACAAAGCUAGACUGGUGGUGAAAGGCUAUGCACAAAUAUGGGGAGUAGACUAUUCUGAAACAUUUGCUCCUAUUGCAUGACUUGAUACAAUAAAGCUACUGUUAGCUAUUGCAGUAGAGAAGGGGUGGCCUAUAUUUCAGUUAGAUGUCAAGUCUGCAUUUCUGAAUGGAGAGCUUGAGGAGGAGAUUUUUGUUGAACAACCUGAAGGUUUUAGUAUCAAAGGGUAAGAAGAGAGUGUAUACAGGUUGAAGAAAGCUCUAUAUGGACUGAAGCAAGCUCCAAGAGCUUGGUAUGGGAAGAUAGAUUGAUAUUUGCAGGAUUUUGGCUUUGUAAAAAGCUUAAGUGAGUUCACUCUUUAUGUCAAGAAGGUGAAUCACAGUGUUGUAAUUCUGUCACUUUAUGUAGAUGAUCUAUUAGUGACGGGGAAUGAUAUGGAAUUAAUAGAGAAGGUGAAGCAAGAUCUAUUUGCAGUUUUUGAGAUGUCAGAUUUGGAAAAAAUGGCUUAUUUUUUCGGUCUGGAAGUCAAACAGGCUUCAUAUGAGAUCUUCAUCUGUAAAAAAAAAUACAUGAAGGAAAUCCUAAAGAAGUUUCAGAUGGAAGAUUGUUGAAGUGUAAGCACUCCUAUGGCUGCUAAAGAAAAGCUGCAGAAGAAUGAUGGAAUAGAUGCAGUAGAUGCUUCUAUGUAUAGAAGUCUGAUUGGGUGUCUCAUGUAUCUUACAGCAACCAGACCAAAUAUUCUAUUUACUGUGAGUGUUUUAUCCAGGUUUAUGAGUAGUCAUAGUCAGUUACAUUUGGUUGCAGCAAAAAGGGUUUUGAGAUAUCUCAAAGGAAUAUUGUUCAUUGGUGUGAAGUUUAAGAAAGGUCAGAAGUUUAAUUUGCAAGGAUUUUUUGAUAGUGACUGGGCUGAUUCAAUAGAUGACAUGAAAAGUACGUCUGGGUAUUGUUUCAGUUUGGGUUUUGCUUGUUUCUCCUGGUGUUCUAAAAAGCAAGAGAUUGUAGCUCAGUCUACUGCAGAGGCUGAGUUUAUAGCAGUUACUGCAACUACAAAUCAAGCUUUGUGGCUGAAGAAGAUAAUGAAAGAUUUAUGGCUGAAUUCCAGUGGCUGUAUUGAAAUCAAUGUGGAUAAUCAAGCUGCUCUAGCAAUAUCUCAGAAUCCAGUUUUUCAUGGCAAAACCAAGCAUUUUAAAGUCAAAUUUUUCUUUCUGCGUGAGUUGCAACAAAGUGGCGAAAUUAAGUUGGUUUAUUGCAGAUCUGAAGAUUAGCUUGCAAAUAUGUUCACAAAACCACUUUAAGCUGGAAGAUUUGAAGUAUUAAGAAAGAAAAUUGGAGUAUGCAGCAGCAACUGAUCCAAGGAGGAGUUUGUUGGAUUAAUAAUGUCUCAGUUGCUGUUUUCUGUUUUGUUUUUUUUUUUUUAUUAAAAAACAGCCAAGUGCAUUUAGUGUUUUUUGCUAUUUUCUAGGAAGUGAAUUAACACGUUUAGGUGUAGUUAUAUGCUGCACGUGUGUGUGGUUUGUAAGCAGUUUUUGUUCUUGUUUAAGUUGUCCUGUACUGGACAGUUUCCUUAGAAAACUGACAUACGCAAGUUUGUGCUUUGUUUUCUCUGCGCUUCUCUUCCUCAUUCAAAAACUAUAGCUUCUGGUUUUCUGUUUCUAGUUUACUAUUUUGAUCAGUAACAACAGAUUUCCUGUAGCUUUUGAAGUUGAGUUAUUUAUCCUGACCUUAACCAAAGCCUUUCCACCCACGCCAGGAUCCAUCCUACCAUUUGAAAGAGGCGUCCUCUUUUUCCAGCACUUUCUGUCUUUGAAAAAAGUGACUGCACGAAAACAAUCAGCCAAGCAAGCCUGUCUGCACUAGUGCUCGGUCUGUGACUCGCUACGCUCGUAAUUAGACAUCGGCCAGCCUGUAUUAAGCAUCUCACGCAAAACAAACUGGUCUGUUCCAGGCUAACUUUUGUCACAACUCUGUGGUGCGGAGUCCUGUCUGCAUCCGUUCAUCUCGUUCGUCGAAUCUAACAGAGUAUAUCCAGGUAGGCAGUGGCAUCGGGGCCUCUGAAUUUGAUCGUCUCCACGAGUACAGUAGCUGUUGAAGCCACAAGCUCUAGUACCAGUAUCUCGGUUCAUACUCGUGCAUAUAUUUGAAGGGACUGGGGAAGACCAUCGACCAGACCAUUGCCCAGCCAGAACUCGAAUUUGCCAUCUUUGGGUGGAUAUAUUGCCUGAAGACCCCGUCAUAUUCGAGGAUCGCUCUUUGGUAAAAUACGCUGGUUGGAACUUCUUCUGAGGUGACUUUAUUGAGUAAUUUUCCAUUCCUAUCCGUGAGGUAGACCUGACCACUUUGAUUGAAUAUCAACCGGAAGCCAUUACCUCGGGUGCCGGUAGCCCAAUAUGCAUCUGAGACGACCAGCGGGGUAGGAAUGGCAUAGAGCACGAGAUUUCCGUUGGUUUGCAGUCUGAAGAUGAAUCUCCCAUUGGAGUAAUUCAUUUCGUAAUAGCGAGCUCUAACAACAGCGUCCAAAUCUAACUGUUGCGUAGGCAGUAUCGUAUCCGUUGGUCGGCUGAACGAAUCCCACGAGUUGACGUGGCUUGCGCUCGCUAGGAUGAAGUUCCCCGUGUCGAGCAUGGCCGCAUACGCUAAGCCAGUGGCGUUCAGGUUAGAAGACCACAGCUCUCUCCCUCUCGGGUCGGUAAGCACCAGCCCGCGGUUGGCGGUCAACUGGACUUUCGAACCUUCGGGCGCUAGAUCAUCGCCAUUCACCGACCAGACGAUGGUCUUCUCCUCUAUCAUCUCGAACCAUAUUGCCAGCAAAUGAGCCCCUUGUCCCAUUUUCCGGAACCCGAAGGCGAACUCACCCGACAGCGACAACAGGGGAGAGUUCUGGUCGUUCGCCGUCAAUGAGUUGCCCAAGGUCAAGUUGCCGCGGGCCUGAGCUUCGGCGGAAAGGAGAAGUGGAACGAGUACUAGAAGGAUUCCUAGUAUCGCUGAAGCCAUGUUUGAUGAAACUGGCGUGCUCCCUGAGUUGAGCUACUUCGGCCUUAAGGAUGAAACUGGCGUUCUUAUAGAGAUUUUUCCACUUUUCCAUGCCACCAGAGUCUCUCUCGUACGUCCGGUCGUUCAUGGCAGGUGAGAGAGGCGACCAUUCCUCCUCCGCGUAGAUGCGAUUGCUCCUCCUUUUUCUCCACAGCGGGUUUGAACCAAAGUUGUAGACAGCGUUUGCCCAUGUCAACACAUAUAUCUAUCACUAUCUUUGACAAAAAAAAAAAAAAAAAACAUAUUUCUAUCUAGAAUAAUGAUUUUACCAUAUGGUCUGAAGUUUUAUAAAAGCUCCACCCGUAGUAAAAGGAAAUGAUUAAUUAAAAUAGAAGGUGAUAUUUGUACAUAUAUUUUAUUAGUCAAUCUUUUUUUGUGUGUAAUAAACCAUUUAUUUAGCAGCAAUUAAUAAACCAUUUUAGAGUAUAUAAUGAGUUACUUGAUUUUGUUUCUUUUAUCUUGAAGUAUCUUAUUAGUUCUAUUGAUAUAUCCAUCAAAUUUUCUUAAAAAAUUCGUAUAAUAAUAUCAUCGAUAUUAAUUUUUCUGAUAAUAAUGUCUCCGUGAAUUUAUCUUUCUUCAUUUUCUUUAUUCCCCCCCCCCCCCUCUUUUUUUUUUAGAAAUCAAUAGUGAAAGAGAACUUGUCAAAUUUAGAAUAAGGCGACCCUUCUCCAAAAGCUUGGCGGGACCUUGAUACUUUUCAAAGAACGCACUUGGAAAAAUUCGACCAGACUUCGUCGUACAUGUUUAUUAAAGACUUUUUAAGAUGAAAUUGAUGGAAAAAGAAGGCAGGGCCAGCAGUUGAUUGAAUCCCCAUGAAUUCAAACCGACUACAAGUUGCUCCGUGGAAAUUGAACAUGCUCGAACAUACGUGGAAUUUUGCAUCAAGCAUGCAACCGAUGGAUGCUUUCCACGGCGACGUUGUGAGGUCUUGUGCAACUUGGAGAGGAAUGGUUACAAUGAUGAACGAACAUAAUUUUGCAGACACUCUACAAAAGUUUACAUCCAGGGAUUCCGGGUUUCAAAACCGAUAUGUUUGGUUAAUUGAAUGUCGCGAUGACAUAAAGAUAUCAUGCUCAUGGAGUUUACGACAUCAUACAAUACUUACCACAUCUAAAAAGCAAUUUGGUUUCCAUUUAAUAUAAUUGAUCAGUUCACAAAGAGGGAGUGUCCCUGUAUAUAAAUUACCGCAAAAGAGGUAACUAUCUACAGUUUUCUACACAUCUUUGAUCUUACUGUCGAGACUCCUCUGCAUCUUUAGCGUCUCAGUCACGGAAAAAGUAUUUCCGUGCCACCGUGAUAAUGCCAGCCAAAACUUCCUGUUCAUACAAUCGUCCCAAAAAUAAAUUACAACCUGCCGCUUUCCACAAUGCUCAACUAGUAAGGGGAAGUGCUAAUUUUCCAGGGUUUUUAGGGUCCGAUCAGGGCCUGACCUUAUAAUUAGGAGCUUCCAAUAAGUUCCAUCCUGCAUGAAUCCCACAUAAUCUGGCCUGAUUGAGUAGGAACUUUCCUGGAAAAAUUCCUGAAUGCUCGACUGGUUAUGCUAAAAUGGUUAUAAUAGGCGGGGAAACUGUAGUCUUAAUCUCUUCCAUCUGCUCCUAAUGAGGGUCGGGUGCAAUGCCAACACGUGCUCGGGCAUAAAAUCAUGUCUUGUUAAUAUGGCCACCACAGGCAAGAUUAAAAUGAAUACAUAAAAGAACAUGUUGAACCAGAGCAAAAUGCUAUUCGCACCCGGUGGCACAGAAGUAUCACACCAAACACCCACAAGAGACGAGAAGAAAAAUCAAUUGUGAUCCCCCACCCUGAUCUACUCUGAUUUUUUACUGAAACUAGGAAGCUAAUGUCAAGUAGCUGCAUGUGCAGAAAUUCAGCUAAACGGAGAGGAGAACAUCCUAGUGCAAAGCUGAGCUAGUGAAGCUACAUAAACAUUUGGCACACCAGAAUCCCUUUCACGGGGUUAAACUUGAACAUAUGAAAGAUAAUCGAGUAAUAUAAGAAUGGAACAGGGGAGGGUGAGAAAAUCAAGCUCGUUAGGCCAAAGGAGGAUGGUGUUAAUGUAAUUCUAAAAAAUGGCCCAAUUCACUAAAAAGAAGGAAGUCAUCGUUGUUUUUAAUAGGACUUUGUUAGUAUAAUAAUCUUUGGGCUAUUAUGAGAAUAACAGCUUGUUAUAAAUCAUAAAUUCUUGAAGAAGUUGGCAUUACAAUAAUUCGUAAUUAUUUGUUAUUUAGUUUUUUAUGGUCUAAAACAAACUGUUAUUUUUACAAUACAUUAAAAACUAUCACCAAAUCAUUUACCUUUUUUUUAAUAUAUCGUCGACUGCUCCAACCACAAAGAAAAAAUCAAUUUUUCAAGUAAAGAAAGGACUAGAAGUAUCACUGAAUGAUGGUGUAGUACUCUAUUGAGAUUGGCAGUAAAGUAUUUCAAUGCCAAAUGACGAAAAGAGCAAUAGAAUAGCUUUUGAUAGAAUUAAAGAAGUGAAAGUGAGAGCUUGCGCCAGCGAUUUCGAGUAUCGCCAGCGGAUGUCUCAAGCCAACUUUCCUUUUAAUUUUUUUUUUCCUAAAAUGGCUAACCUAGCAACCUCAGCAGCACCUCUUUUUUUGAAAAAAAAAAGUAAACCAUGUCAGUUUCUUUUUUUCAUUAACCAAAUCGGAUGGAGUUAAUAGAGAGACUUGAUUGAACUAAUUUGAUAAGUUUUAAAAAUUGAUUACACUUUUUGGAAAAUUUCAUAACUCGAUUGCACUUUUGUAAUAACUUUUUGGGACUUUUGAUGCACUUUUUCCAAAAAAAAAAAAUAUUGAACAUUUAGAGCUUAUAGAGGAUCAAUGAAGUAUCAAAUCAAUAACUUAAUAAAAAAUCUUAUGGACACCCAUUGGGGCGAGGCAAGCUAGCACGCUCGACUUUAAACUUCGAUUCAAUGCUUGUUUUGUGAUAAACGGACCACAACCAAAUGCCUUUUAGGACAGCAAGGUGAUGACGAUUAGAGAUGGAUGAACUCGAAGGGAGCGUGGUUUACUCAUGGAUUGGGCUGGAUAGACAUGAUUUUUGUUUGGGAAUUCAUUGUCAAUUUUUCAAUACGUUUCAUAAAAUUAGGGAUUUGAUUUUUUAAUCCUUAGCAAAAGAUAUGUGAAUUUGCAUUAUCUAACGACAUUCAUGCCUCUCACUACAUCUAUUGCAAUCAAGAAGAUUGUGCUUUUUGUUACAUUAUGGGAGAAUCGACUUGAGGAGAACAUUGAAACUUUUGACAUCAUUUUCCUCACCUUGUUUUUUCAUUUUCAAUCACACAUCAUUAACACAGUGAUUUAAAAAUAUCCACCUCAGGAUUAUUUUUAUUUCUCAGUAGCGAACCGUUUUCUCGAAACCUGACAUAUUUAUGUUGGUCUUAUUGAACAAAGACAUACCUUCGGGAAAAAUUGCAAAAUGAACUAAUACAAUUGCAAAAGACCAUUCAGGAAAGGUUGCUAAUUGAACUUGUAUGUUUUCCAAACGACAACUUGAAAAGAUACAAAAAUUUCGGAAUAAAAUAAUAAUAAUAAUAAUUUUUUAUAACAAAAUUCAGAAUUUAAUAAUUUCGAAAAAAAUUGAAGUUUUUGGAAAGAAGACCUGAAAAAAAAAAUUAGCGAACCGUUUUCUCAAAACCUGACAUAUUUGUGUUGGUCUUAUUGAACAAAGACAAACCUUUAGGGAAAAUUGCAAAAUGAACUAGUACGAUUGCAAAGGACCAUUCGGGAAAGGUUGCUAAUUGAAUUGGUAUGUUUUCCAAACAACAACUUGAAAAGAUAUAAAAAUUUCGGAAUAAAAAAUAAUAAAAAAUGAUAAUAAUUUUUAUAACAAAAUUCAGAAUUUAAUAAUUUCGAAAAAAAAAGCUGAAAAAAUAAAUACAACGUUUUGAGUAACAAGAUAACCUUAUGGAAUAAAAUAAAAUAAAAAAUAGUGGAUUAGGGCUAAUUAAAACGCAAGCGCGCAAGUGAGUCAAGUGCGCCUAAUAAUUGCGCAAUCAUUUGCGCAUCCAGCAUGCGGGUAUUAUGAGGUGUGGCUCACGCCUCAUUGCUGUUUCUAAAGAAGCUAGAAAAACUCACACAUUAGGUGGUCUAUCUCCUCCUAACUUUUCUAUGUGGGACAAAGAAGAAAAGCAUUCUUGUUUGUUUUGCAAACCAACACUCAACAAAGUUUACAAAAGAUUAUCUUAUAAUAGUAUCGUUGAUAUUAAAUUUUUCUGAUGGUUAUAUCUUUAUAAAUUUAAUUCUCUUUUUUCUCCUUUUUUUAUAUAAAUCAGUGGUGAAAGAAAACUUUCAAAUUUAGAAAGCGGCGAGGCUACACCACAAGCUUGCGGGGACCCUCAUAUUUUUGAAGGAACAGCAAGAAUUUGGAAGACUUUGACCAAACGUCAAACAAGUUAAGUUGGAGACCUUAUGAGUUAUGGAGAAGAAGGCAAGGCUCGUAGUUGAUUCAAUACCUACGAAUUCGAACCAAUUACUAAGUUACUUCGUGCAAAUUGAAUGUUUCAAUAGUAAUCAUAGAUAUGCUCGGACGUACCAGGAAAUUUGCUUGGUCAUCCUGCAUCAGGCAUGCACUCAAUGGAUGCAGACCGUGGUCCGUGGCGUUGUGGUGAUUCAAUGCUUAAAAUGAGACGAGUCUUUGUGCAACUUGGAAAGAAAUGGUUGCCACAAUGAUGAAUGAACAUAAUUCUACAAAUAUUCUACUGAAGUUUGCUUAUAGUACUUUCAGGUUUUGAAAUACUUGUCUGUUUGAUAAAUGGAAGCAUGUAACAAUAUUGUAUUCUCAUGUACUUAACAACAUCAAGCAAAACUUACUGCAUCUAAAAGUAAUUUGAUUAACAUUAUAACUCGAUUGCACUUCUACAAUAAGUUUAGGACUUUUAUUAUGCUUAUCAUAUAAAAAUAUAGAGCAUUUAGAGCUUAUGAAUGAUCAAUGAAUUAUCAAGUCAACAAAAUAAAAAAAAUAAAAAAAAUAAUAAUAUCGAACUGAUAAAGGAGCUUGAAACUGGAGGUACUAGGACUUCAACGACUCCUUCCAACAUCUGAGUGAUUUUCUUCAUGGUUGGCCUCAAAGCAGGGUCUUCUUGGAUGCACCAUAAUGCUAUCAUCACAAAUCUUUUCACCCUCUUUAUGUCACUCGAUGCCUCCUCGUCGCUCUGCACUAGCUUAAGUAUGCUCCCGUCGUGGUAGCAGUCAUACACCUAGUCAACUAGCACAAUUUGAGCUUCAAUUUCCGCUUCCGGCUCAUAGUUCUUUCUACAACAGAUCAGCUCGACCAAUAAAAUGCCGAAGCUGUAAACGUCUACCUUGCUAGAAAUAGGCAUAUUCCUGAACCAUUCUGGCGCUAAAUAACCUCUGGUUCCUCUGACUCCAGCGACGGUUCGUGUUUGGUUCGCCAUCAAGAGCUUUGCUAUUCCGAAAUCUGAUAUUUUUGCAGUGAGAGAGCCAUCAAGAAGAAUAUUUUGAGGCUUGAUGUCGCAAUGGAUUAUAUGCCUAGUGCAAUCAUCAUGCAAGUAAGAGAGCCCUUGUGCAACACCACAAGCAAUUUCUAUUCUUUUGUACCAGCUGGGCCUUGAAAUGCCAAAUAGAAAAUCCGCCAAAGUGCUGUUGCUCAUGAAUUCAUACACCAGUGGUCGAUGUUGACCUUCAUUAUAGAAUCCAAGCAACUGCACUAAGUUCUUGUGGUCAGUCUAGCCCAUUGCACUCACUUCUCUUUCAAACUCCUUUUCGCUUUCUCCAGUCCUUGUUGCCAGCACUUUUACUGCCACAAAGUUUGUAUCCUCAGAUCUGAGAACACCUUUGUACACUGUUCCAAAAGCACCCCUACCUAGUUCUUCUUUAAAUCCAUCCGUUGCUUCUUGAAGCUCCUGAUAAGUGAAAGUCUGCGUGCCUGUGGCUUGGUUGAUCUGGACUGGUCGUGACAACUUAGAAUCCCUAGAUCGGAAGCUUCUAUAUAUUAAAUGGGUAAUGAGGAGUAGAAGCAAGUUCACAAACACGGAGCUACUCAACAACACCGAUCUGAUGAUAAUCAGAGUGGAAUUCUUGCUUCCAUUUCUUAUAGAUUUUGAAGUCGAGUUAUUUAUCCUGACCUUGAUCAGCGCCCUUUUGCAAUAUCACUACGAUCCUCUCUUCCAUUGGAAAGAGGGAUCUUCUUUUUCCAGCAAUUUCCAUUGUCGCCGAAAAUAGCAAGUGCACAAAAACAAUCAGCCAAACAAGCCUCUUUGCAACUGUCCUCGGUUUGCGCCGCGGUACGCUCGUAAUCAGACAUUGGCCAAUUUGUAUAAGGCAUGCUAAAGAGAGUGAACUGGUCUGUUUCAGGCCAACUUUGCGGUACAAAGUCCUGUCUGCAUCCGUUCAUCUCGUUUGUUGAAUCUAACAGAGUAUACCCGUGUGGGCAGUGGCAUCAGGGCCUCUGAUCUUCUCCAAGAGAACAAUAGCUGUUGAAGCCACAAGCUCCAGAACCCAUAGUUUGCGUGAUGCUUGUGCAUAUAUUUGGAGGGACUGGGGAAGAACGGGCCACCACCCAGCCCAUUUCCGAGAGAGAACUUGAAUCAGAGUGGACAUAUUGCCUGAAGACCCCGUCGAAUUCAAGGAUUGCUCUUCGGUAAUAUCCGCUGGCAGGGAAUGUGUCUGAGGAGACGACUUGGAGCAGUGCUCCAUUCCUAUCCGUGAGGUAGACCUGACCACUUUGAUUGAAUAUCAAUCGGAAGCCGUCGCUUGUGUUGCUAUCCCAGUAAGUAUCUGAGGCAACCCACGGGUCAGGAGUGGCAUAGAAUGCGAGAUUUCCGUCGUCUCCCAGCAUGAAGUGGAAUCUCCCGGCGGAGUAAUUCAUUUCGGAGUAGCGAGCCUUAACUUUAGUCCCUUGAUCUAACUGUUGCGUAGGCAGCAACGUGUCGGUUGGUUGGCUGAACGUCUCCCACAAGUUGACAUGGUUCUGGCUAACUAGACAAAGUUCCCUGUGUCAAGCAUGGCCGCAUACGCUAUACCAGCGACAGUCGGGCUAGGAGACCACAACUCUCUUCCAUUUGGGUCGACGAGCACAAAUCGGCCAUCCGUGGUCAACUGGAUUUCUGAACCUUCUGGUGCUAGAUUAUUGCCGUUCGCCAACCAGACUAUGGUCUUGUCCUCUAUCUUCUCAAACCAUAUAGCCAACUGUUGGAAAUUAUUGAUCCAUUUUCAACAAAUCUAGAAGUUUCUAGCUUAAUGGAGAAUGAACUUGAAGACACGUGAAGAAGCCCAAGUUAAUCAAGAAAAAAGGGGCACACAAUAAAAUAAUAUUUUAGAAGUUGCUGGAGUUUUCAAGAGAAUAAGCUCUACGUGCAUGGGAAAUUUGUGCAUGAAAAUCUUGGAAGAAAAGUCAACAAAAGUGGCUGAGAGUUGUAAAAUACAGAAAAAUGGAGAAGCCACCAGAAGAUGCGGGAGAAGUCGCAACAAGAGAAGACAAGAAGCCAGCUGUAAUUUUAUAUUAUUUUUGUACUCAAUGUCGGUGGAGUAUGGCGGUGAUUCACGCCUAUAAAUAGGCUUGAAUGUUGAUCAUGUGAGAGUGUGAGAGGUUACCUCCACCUUGUAUGUGGGGGUGAACUCUCCACCUUGAAAGGUCUUAGACCUUCAUUGUAUUUUUAUCAAACUAGUUUGUUUAACUAAUAAAACUAUUUCCCCCAUAUCUCAUGUCCUAUAUCCCUCAAAUCAUCCUACCUUGUCCCUUGUUCAUCCUCCACAAAAUAUACUAUACACUUGCACACAUCACAAACCAAAAACUAUAACUAAUACCAAAAUCAUGCUUCCGCACGUAACGCACACAUCCCAAAAAAAUAUUUUUUUUAACACCAACAAAUGAGCUCCUCUUCCCAUUCUCCGGAACACGAAGGCGAACUUGCCUGACGGUGACAACCAGGAAGAGUUCUGGUCGUUCGCUGUCAACGACUUGCCCAAGGUCAAGUUGCCGCUAGUCUGAGCUUCGGUGGAAAGGGGAAGUGGAACGAGUAUUAGAAGGAUUCCUAGUAUAACUGAAGCCUUGGUGUUCUCCUUGAGUUGAGCUACUUCGGCCCUAAGGAUGAAACCAGCGUUCUUUUAGAAAUUCCCUACUUUCCAAGCUACCAGAGUCUCUCUCGUACGUCCGGUCGUUCAUGGCAGGUAGAGAGGCGACCAUUCCUCCUCCGCGUCGAUGCGAUUGCUUCUCCUUUUCUCCAAAGCAAGUUUUGGGCAAAGUUGUGCGCACAACCUUUGCACAUGUCAACACAUAUAUCUAUCACCAUCUUUGAAACCCCCCCCCCAAAAAAAAUAGAUAUAUAUUUAUUUCUAUCUCUCUCCCGCCACUUUCGACAAUGCUCGACUAGUAAGGCGAAGGGUUAAUUUUCCAGGGUUUGUAGGGUUCGAUCAAGGGCCUGACCUUAUAAUGAGCGGCUUCCAAUAAGCUCCGUGCUGCAUGAAUGCCGCAAAAUCUGGCCUGAUCGAGUAGGAAUUUUCCUGGAUAAAUUCCCGAAUGCUCAACGGGCUAUGCUAGAAUAGUUUUAAUAGGCGGGGAAACUGUAGUCUUAAUCUCUUCCAUCUGCUCCUAAUGAGUGUCGGGUGCAAUGCCAACACGUGCUCAGGCAUAAAAUCAUGUCUUGUUAAUAUGCCCACCACAGGCGAUCUCUGCAAUAAAAGAGCGUCGAGAUUAAAAUAAAAACAUAGAAGAACAUGUUCAACUAGAGCAGAAUGGUAUUGCAAUAAUUAAGCACCCAGUCACAUUUAAGUCCAUUUUACAAGUAGACACAGGACUAGAGCCACGAGAAAAAUCACUGAAUGAUGGGGUAGUACUCUAUUUAAAUUAACAGUAGAGUAUUUUGAUGCCAAAGGACAAAAAGAGCGAUAGAAUAGCUUUUGAUAGAAUUAAAGAAGUGAAAAUGAGAGCUUACGCCAGAGAUUUUAGGUAUCACCAGUAGAUGUCUCAAGCCAACUUCCCGGAAAAGUAUGAGAGCCUUCGCAAGUGACAUUGUCUCCACAACCGUGUAAGGUGAAGCAUUAGUAAAAGGAUGUAAAUCCAAGAACAUCUCCAUCUCUUCUUCAGUCAGGUCUAUAUCUUCUAUCAUGUUAUAAUGACCUGAUCCCCUCUUCAUGAAGUCCUCUGCUGAAAUCUGCUCAAAGGCAUCAAUAUCCGUCGGAACUGGAUCAGACAAAAAAGCUUUCUUCUUUAAAAGCUCCAUCAGAUGAGCACGGAGAAUUAAACCAUACAGAAAGGGGGACUCUGAAUGUGGAGGUUCAUCAAUUACAGGAAACCCGUUGUGCCUUGUAGUUCGCAACACAUGUACCACAUUAGCGACCUUCUCGAUGCCAUGAAACAGCUGAAGGGGCCCACUCACUACAUCACCAACUGUUAAUUGUCUCAUAUAUGGCUCGGCAUGGGUCUCAAGGUAAGGAAAAGCCCUUUGCUUUCAUGAUAAGGUCAUAGAUGUUGCCGUUGAAAGCAUCAGCUACGGUCUUUGAAAUAAGAAGAACCACCAUCAUCAAGGGUAGCAACAGCAGGUUGUUAAUCAGUUCCAAAAGGAUUACACAUAGAGAAACCGUCAUCCUCAUAGAUCCACCAAGAAAAGAAGCAGCACCCAGCACAGCAAAAAGACCAUGGUUAAGAUUGGAAUGAGAACCAAUCAACGUUCCAACCAAACGCCCAUAAGAUGCACCAGUAACUAUUACAGGAACGAAAAGGCCAGCAGGAGCGACAAUGCCAUAGCUAAGUAUACUCAAGAAAUAACAUGUGACAAAGAAUAUAAUUAUAGAAGAGUACCGGAUCUCGUCAUCCGUGCCCUUGCUAAAGAGAUUUUUGAUUGCAUCAUCAUUCGUGUUAAAUAUUAGGCUGGCAAGAUCAUUGUAAUGUCCAGGAGGACAUUGAAACUUCUUGUAGUUGCCAGGUCGGCCUAUUGUGGGACAGGCUUCUCCAGCAUUGGCUGGACAAACUCGACAAGAUGCCAGCCACGGUAGUCCAAACAGGAGACACGACGUGAAAAUUGAAAUCCAGCAAGCAAGCACAAUUUUGUAGGCAAUGCCCUUUCUGAAAGAACAAGGUCAUUGUUGUAAUCAGUUUAUUGUUACUGCAUAAUCACAUACUUGCGAUUACUGAGAAGAAAAGGAAAGAGAACUUACUCGUUGAUGAGGUUGUAGACACGAAGAACCUUCUCCAGGAAGAAGUUAUACAAGCUACCCAACAAUCCACCUAUCAUACCAAGGAGAAGUACAGGAGGUACAUCAACAAUGUGAUAGGCAACAUUUGAUGAGGCAACAUCGUACAUUAUCAGCCCUCCUUUACCAAAAAGCCCACAUUUCCCACUCAAACAGACGUCAAUGAGAGCCCUCAGCACGAUGCCACUACAGCUGUAGUAAAGAAAGCUCUCCACACCAGGGCACUUCUCCACCUGUAAAAGAAAAUAAAGAUUAUGCCGUGCAAAGACAUCACAUAUUUCCAUGGAAUAUAAAAUACUUCAAGGUCUCAGAUAGUCAAUAAGCUGCGGCAAUACAUCUCGAAACCAGAUAAUAAGUGCAAGGAGAUAGUGCAAACAAUUUAAGCAAACUCAGCCAAGAACCAAAAACAGGGAGAAACAAACUGGCUGAUAGAACAUAAAGGAAGCCCAGAAUCAUCUCUUCCUGGUAAUCAGAAUAAGUUAAAAUAGGAAUUUACAUAAACCGUUAAUAUCAGAAAACCAGAUUUCUGUACUUGACCAGCAAUUUUUCUCAGCUUUGCAGAACUAAGGUAAAUAUGAUCUGCUAACAAGUCCAAUAUCCAGGACUUUAAGAACAAUGAGAUUUUGCAUCGCAAGGAUUCUAAUUGCUAAAAUAGACAAAUGGAGACAUCAGAAGAAAGCAGUGCAUAACAGCAAUUCAUCAUAGCAAGAUUUUUGUUUGGGGAUUCAUUGUCAACUUUUCAUAAUGUUUCAUAAAAUUAGGGAUCUUAUUUUUUAAUCCUUAGCAAAAGAUAUGUGAAUUUACAUUAUCUAACGACAUUCAUGUGUCACGGGCCGAUCGAUCACUCUCGAUUACUCAUAUGACUUGUGCGACCUUAGGAUUUUACCCCUAAGCAGCCUUUCUCACACUCGACUCACAAAGAUCUUAGAGAGAAAACUCUAGAGAGAAAAGCUCUGGAUUGUAUUUCACUUGUGAAUGAGAUAAUACAAUGAGGGGGAGGAGACCCCUAUUUAUACAAAGACAAGCAAACCGUAUCCGUAGAUCUCUCCUCGAUCUAACAGUGGAGAUUACAUUUCCCCAACUACCAACUACCCGUAUUUAUUACAUACGAAUACAUUUACAGUAUCGUCCGUCCCCAUUGAGUUUUCUAGAAAACUCGAGAAAACCCUAGCAGUUGGGGAUAUAAGCCAAGGGUCGCUUGAUCCAUAAUCGUGUCACGGCCGUCCCAUAGGAACCUCUUGGAUCAUCGUUCUUUUGGGCCGUGACAUUCUCUCCCACCUAAUCAAGCGACGUCCUCGUCGCGUGUUUAGCGUGAAAGGCAUCAAUCUCAUUCUUGAACUGCCAAAGACUUUCCGCGGGAUCCCAACUUGCUUCGCUCUCCGGAAGACCCUUCCAUCGAAUCAAAUACUCUUGCUUCGGCGCACAAUGCCGCUUCCGUAGGAUUCGAUCCGCCAUGAUGCUCUCGACUUCUCGAUCAUACGAGAUUUUUGCCCCGAGUGGUGCCCUUUGAGACUCCCUUCAAUCUGGACCUUCCUCAUCAACCUGGAAAAGUUUAAGUAUACUCACAUGGAAAAUCAUAUGUACCUUGAGUAUCAAUGGUAACUCCAGUUUGUAUACAACCUUCCCGACCCAUUAUAGCACACGAAAUGGCCCUUCGUAGCUAUGAAUCAACCCCUUGUGCACGAGUCUGUAUCGAAGAACUACGUGCAACUUGGCCAACACUUGGUCCUCGACCUCGAACUCCACAUGCCGUCCCUUCUUGUCGGCCCACUUCUUCAUGCGCUUGGAGGCCUUGUGUAAACACGCCCUUGCCAAGUUGGGCUGCUCCUGCCAAUCCUUAGCAAACUUAUAUGCGGGUGGACUACUCCCCUGUUAACCCGAUGCGAUCGCACUUGGAGUAUUUGGUUGCUACCCGAUUGCGAUCUCGAACGAGCUCUGGCCAGUUGACUCACUCCGCUGCAAAUUGUAAGAGAACUAGGUUACAUCAAUCAACUUUGCCCAAUUCAAUUGCAGUAUACUCACAUAGUGUCGGAGAUAAAUCUCCAAGAGUGCAUUGACCCGCUCUAUCUGACCAUCGGUUUGAGGAUGCAAACUCGUGGACAUAUUUAGCUCCGACCCCAGUAGCUUGAACAACUCGGACCAUAAGCGCCCCGUGAAACGAGGAUCACAAUCAUUUGUGGCACUCCCCAAUACUUGACGACGUACUUCAUGAACAGCUUGGCCACCUGCUCGACCAAACAAUCUUUCAUCGCAGGCACAAAAGUCGCAUACUUGGAGAACCUGUCCACCACGACUAGGAGAGUCUGACACCCUUUGGACUUCAGCAGGUUUACAAUGAAGUGCAUGGAAACACUUUCCCAUGGACGAGUUAGAAUAGGAAGCCGCUGCAAUAGGCCUAGUGUCUGGAAGUAGCUCGUGGCCACAUUGUCCGUCCUUAUGACGAACUUCAACCCCAGGAGAUAAUGCCUCCACGUCCAAAGGCAAUGGACCACCGUGGUCAUCUUCUUCUCCUGAACGGUAUACCAACGCUCGAUAUCGUUCAACUUCCGAGACUCAUACACCACCGAAUGUCCAUCCUGCAUAAGAACACCACUGAUAGCAUAAUCCGAGGCGUUAGUCUCUACCUCAUAAGGCUUCGUGUGGUCGGGUAAUGCCAACACCGGUUCCUCGGUCAUUGCUCGCUUCAAUCGGUCGAAUGCCCUUUGGCAUCGAUCUGUCCACUUCCACGGCUUCUCCUUCUUUAACAGGUUCAUGAGCAGCACGAUGAUACUCAAGUAGCUCCAAAUGAAGCGCCAAUAGUAGUUAGUGAGGCCUAGGAACGACCUCAACCCCGUCACCUUUGUCGGCGGCUCUCAUUCGACGAUCAAUUGAAUCUUCGCCUUGUCCAUUCACACUCAUCCACCCCCGACUAUGUGCCCCGAGAACGAAACUUCCUUUUGGGCAAAUGCACACUUCUCGCGCUUCACAUAUAACCCGAUCUCACGCAAGACUUGGAAGACUUGCUUUAAGUGCUCAACAUGCUCUUCGAGCGUCCGAUUAUACACUACAAUAUCAUCUAGGUAAACCACUACAAACCGAUCUAGGAAAUGGUGGAGUACCUUGUUCAUAAGUGUGCAAAACGUAGUCGAAGCGUUGGUCAAGCCGAACAGCAUCACGAAGGAACUCGUAGGAUCCAUACCGCGUCACACAUGCGGUCUUUGGCUCAUCCCCUUCAGUGAUCCGAACUUGAUAAUAGCCCGAUCGGAGAUCCAACUUGGUAAACCACUAAGCUCCACCGAGUUGAUUGAAGAGAUCCGUGAUGAGCAAGAUCGGGUACUUGUUCUUCACGGUCAGCUUGUUCAACGCCCAGUAGUCGAUGCACAUCCAGAGUGACCCAUUGUGCUUCUUUUGAAAUAGGACCGACACACCAAACCGAGCUCUGGACAGCCUUAUGCAACCCGCAUCGAGCAGCUCCUUGAGGUUCCUUCCUCAACUCUUCCAAUUCGAGGAGCGUCAUGCGGUAUGGCGCCAUGGCAGGCGAUCGAGUGUCAGGCACUAGCUCAAUUCAAUGAUCCACCUCUCUCUUGGGUGGCAAUUUCUUCGGCAACUCUAAGGGCAUCACGUCCUUGAAUGAGCCGAGGACUUGGGCUACCUCCGUCGGGACUUCCUUCCCUUCGCCCUUGUUGUCCUCGAUCUUCAAGGCAGCUAGGAUGGUCACUUCACCCUUCCUUGCUCCUUUGGUGAGGUGCAUUGCCAAGAUCAUCCUUCAAUCACGUUCCGACUCAUGAUAGACCAAAAUCACGCAUUGACAGUGCUUGUCCAACACGCAUAUACAUUCAGCGAAUGGCAAUAUAACAGCAUGGAUCUUAUCUAGAAAUUUUAUCUCAAUGACAAAGUCGUAGUCGUCAAGGGAAAUUACCUCUAGAGUCUCCUUGUUCUUCCAUGACCCGAGUUGUAGCUCCACGUCCCUCACAACACCGAUUGUAGGGAUUUCCUUGGAGUUUACUGUCUUGAGCCACUCGACUCCCUUGUCAACCCGUAGGUUAAGUCUCUUUGCGGCUUAUUUCGAUAUGAAGAGGUCGGAUGCUCCCGUGUGUUAGGGAAAUCCCUUAUGAUGUUUUGAAGAUGACAAAAUAAAUCAAAGGCUACUAACAUGUUUGAUGGUUGAGUAAUAGACCAUGCAGAUGAUAAAACAUGUAAAGGAUAUUGUCAAAGUCUGAAGACUAUCAGACUCAAGACUCAAAGUCUGAAGAAUGCCAGACUCGAGACUCAAAGUCUGAAGACUGCCAGACUCAAGACUCUAUGCUGAAGCUGAACCAGAAGACAGACUCUAUACUGAAGUUGAACUGGGUACAGACCUUAAAGCUAAAUCUGUUCAGAAGCAGAUAUGUUCAGACCCAGAUUGUAAAAUCUAGAGACUCAUAUUGUAAAGUCUCAAGACCCAGAUUGUAAAGUCUCAAGACUCAUAUCGUAAAGUCUAAAGACUCAGACUUUACAUCCAGAUUCGAUGAAUCGUAACUCAAGCCCAAUCAUACAACGGCUAGUGAUCUGGUUUGGAUUCCACAUCAAGAUUGAUUUGAUUGGUUCAAUCUAAUUGAUUGACGAUUAGAUCUUGAAGACAAAAACUUUCUACACGAAGAAGCUUUACUUAUGGAAACCAAGAUUUCGUUUGUAUGGGCGAUCGGAAUCAAUUUGGGAUUUUACCUUUGUCACUCAACGGCUACCAAAUCUUCUAAGAUACAGAGCUGUCCAAUGGGUAUAUUGGAAGACGAUUCUCCGGGAUACUGUCCAACGGUAGUUUGGAAGUGGAGGAGUAUUUAAGGAGAUCAUGGACCGAUGAGCAAGUAAGAGACGGAGCGUAGAAUUUAUAAUUCCAAAGUCUAAGCGACUUUAGAUCAUAUACUUGUCUCUUGAGAGCUUAAACGUUUGUAAUCGUGAGAGAAAUACCAAGAGAGUGACUUAGUGAGAUAGUGUGAUCUACUAAGUGUUUGCACUCGGAGUUGUAAUCUCUUGUUGAUUGCAUAGUGGAAUCCAGCCAAGAAGGCUGUUAUCGUGGGAGAGUGGACGUAGGCUUGGAUUAAGCCGAACCACUAUAAUUUCUGUGUUCUUAUUCUCUUCCCUAACUCCUUUAUUUUGUUCAUACUAGCACUCUCACCGUGUCCACGAGCGCACUCAUUGUGGACUCUCCAAUCUUCAAAUCCGCGAACAUCGAGCCUUUAGGCUCAUUCGCCUUCUUGGACUUGAUGGUGCAAAGGAGUCGCAGCGAACUCAACCGCGUUUCCUCCCUAGGCUCAUCCUCCUUGCAAAGGGCGGCUAGUUUGGCCUUGUUCGGGCAAUCCCGCACCAUAUGCGGACCAUCGCAAAAGAAACAUUUUUAAGAGCGUACCUUCCUUUGUCCUCCUCCGCUCGACUCCACAUGAGCUCUAUGAGGACCAAUCGGUGGUCUACCUCCGGUUGGGCGGUUGUAUCUCCCCCGAUCUCCCCCACCAGUAGCUUUGUCCCUCGGACGCAAGUCCGAUCAGGAUGUGGAUGGCACCUUGUAUUCCUCGAGCGAUUCGGCCACAAUCAUUGGCUAUUGUGAGAUCUCCCACGUUGCACCGCUUCAGCUCUUGCUUAGUCCAUGGAUUGAGACCACUCAUAAAUUGGUGAUAAGCUUCAAUCUUGUUCAUUGAAGGGAUUUGGAGUAGCAACUUCGAAAACCUCUUGAUGUAGUCGCGCACACCACCCUUUUGCUUGAGACGCUUCAGCUCGUCACGAGCUUCCUCUUCCGCAUAAGUGGGAAAGUAGUUCCGUCAGAACUCCUCAACAAAUCUACCCCAGGUCAUGAUAAGAUCCCCACACCUAUCAUCCGACCGACAACGCCACCACAACAAUGCAUUAUCGACUAAGUGCAUAGAUGCAGUGUUUACCCAUGAUUGUUCAUCAUUGAGCCCCAUGGCUUGGAAGUACCGCUCCAUAUACCAGAGGAGAUUGUCCACGUCCUUGGCCACCCACAAGCCCUGGAAUUCCUUUGGCUUCGGCAUGUCCACUCAUGGACCUUGCACGGUGAUCACCCCAUUCACACGUGCUGCUUCCGAUUCGGCAAGCUUACUCUUGAGCUCCACUAUUUUUGCGCGCAUGGCCACCAUCAUAGCCUCCAUGAGUUCGUACCGUUGCGCGAGUUCUUCCUGUAGAGUUCCUAGCAACUCGUGUCGGAGCUUUCCCAUGCCAGUCUUGAGCUCCUACACCUCCACAACGAGCUCCUCCCUUCCGGCGUCUACUCUAUCCAUGGUCUGGGUCAGGUCAUCGACUGAUCCUUGGACAUUAUUGACUAACAACUCUAGCUUCGCCAUCCAUUGUGCAAGAUCUCCUGUUGGAUCCCUUGAACUCGAACCACCACGGUUAUUCUUUCCCUUGGCAGCGCCCUUCUCGACAUUCCUCCCACGAUCUACGCAGUCACCACCCAUGAUAAACGCUUCAUCGGAUCAUGGAUCAGCCAUUGUGCUUUGAAUGAUCUUGCUUUGAUACCAUUUGUCACGGGCUGAUCAAUCACUCUCAAUUACUCGUAGGCUGACCCGUGCGGCCUUAGGAUUUUACCCCUAAGCAACCUUUCUCACACUCGACUCACAAGGAUCUUAGAGAGAGAAAACUCUAGAAAGAGAAGCUCUAGAUUGUAUUUCACUUGUGAAUGAGAUGAUACAAUGAGAGGGAGGAGACCCCUAUUUAUACAAAGAUAAGGCAAACCAUAUCCGUAGAUCUCUCCUCGAUCUAACGGUGGAGAUUACAUCUCCCUAACUACCAACUACCCACAUUUAUUACAUAUGAAUACAUUUGUCCGUCCUCAGAAGUAUUCCAAAAGACUCUAGAAAACCCUAGCACUUGGGGAUACAAGCUGAGGGUCGCUUGAUCCAUAAUCAUGUUACAGCCGUCCCGUAAGAACCUCUUGGAUCAUCAUUCUUUUAGGCCGUGACACAUGCCUCUCACUACAUCUAUUGCAAUCAAGAAGAUUUUGCUUUUUGUUACAUUGUGGAAGAAUCGACUUGAGGAGAACAUUGAAACUUUUGACAUCAUUUUCCUCACCUCGUUUUUCUUUUCCAAUCACACAUCAUUAACACAGUGAUUUAAAAAUAUCCACCUCGGGAUUAUUUUUAUUUCUUAGUAGCAUCAUCAAAAUCCUGAGAAUGAAUUGAGUCACGGCCUAACCAAGCAAGAACGCCAGGAAGUGUUCCUGUCGUUCGCGGUCAACAAGGAGCCCAAGGCAACAUUGCCGGCAGUCUGAGCUUUGGUUGGUAAGUUCCUUACUCUGCUGGUAACUUAUUAUCUUAUAAGUGAAACAAGUACUAGAAGGAAUCUUAACAUCACUAAAGCCAUGUUAGAUGAAACUUGCGCGCUCCUUGAAUUGAGCUACUUCAGUCUUAUGAAUGAAACCAGCAUUCUUUUAUAGAUUUUCCACUUUGUAUGCUCCCGGAGUCUCUCCCGCAGCUAGUUAGAACCAAAUUUGUGGACAGAUUUUGCCCAUGUCAACGCAUAUAUCUAGCCUUACAAUAGUAUUACUUGUUUUUGUUUCUUUUUUCUUAAAAUAUCUUAUUAGUUCUAUUUAUAUAUAUUCAACAAAGUUUGUUGGAAAAUCGACUUUGAAAUUGGGUAUGACAAUGAAGUGAGACUAUGAGGGAUAAUAUCACUUUCUUUAAGGAUUUAUUUGUCCACGAAGUUGCUAAUAGUCACUAGCAAAUUUCCUCUAGAAUACAACAAAGUCCCGAUAAAAAUACUAGAUAGCAAUUCUAAUAUUUCUCCAAGGUCUCUCAAGAGAAACAAUUCGAAAACUUGCAAAAUGAACCAUUUUUUUUGAAAACUUGAUGUAUUUAUAUCAGUCUUAACUAACAAAGACAUCCCUUCACGAAAAGUUGCAAAAUGAACCGGUACGAUUGCCAAACACCACUCAAGAAAGGUUGCUACUUGAACUAGUAUGUUUUCCAAACCACACUUUGAAAAGAUAUAAAAAUUCGGAAUAAAAAAUAAUUAAUAAUAACAAAUUUUAAUAAUAAUAUUCCGAAUUUAAUAAUUUCCAAAAAAAUGCUGAAAAAAAAUAAAUACAACCUUUAUAUCAACAAGAUAACCAUAUGGAAUAAAAUAAAAAGUUAGGGGAUUAGCACUAAUUAAACCAAAACCACGCAAGCAAACCAAGUACACCUAAUAAUCGCACAAUUAUUUGCGCAUCCGCACAUGGGUAUUAUGAGGUCUAGCUAACACCCCCAAACUUUUUUCUAAACAAACUAGAAAAACUCACACAUUAAGCGGGCCAUCUCAUCCUAACUUUCCUAUGUGGUAUAAGAAAGAAAAGUACUUUUGCUUGUUUUGCAAACAAACACCCAACAAAGGUUACAAAAUAUUAUCUUAUAAUAGUAUCGUUGAUAUUAAAUUUUUCUGAUAGUUAUAUCUUUAUAAAGUUAAUUUCUUUUUUCCCCCAUUUUCUAUAGAAAUCAACGGUGAAAGAAAACUUUCAAAUUUAGAAUACGGCGAGUCUGCACCACAAGCUUGUGGGGACCCUGAUAGUUUUCAAGGAACGGCAAGAAUUUCAAAGACUUUGACCAAACGUCAUACACGUUAAGUUGGAGACUUUAUGAGUUAUGGAGAAGAAGGCAGUGCCGUAGUUGAUUCAAUCCACGAAUUCGAAUAGAUUACUAAGUUACUUCGUUUAAAUUGAAUGUUUCAAUCAUAAUCGUAGACAUGCUCAGACGUACCAUAUGUUCACCCCCUCUAGAUGAUACCUGCUAGCCACCCUCAGAUUAUACUUCCAACUACGUGAUUUGCGGACUGGGAUUUCUUUGGUCUAGAAGAAGUGUCCCUCCUGUAUGAAUAAAAAAGUAGCAGAACUAUUGAAAUUGGGAUUCCAGGUCAACGAUCCACGACCUGAGGAUCAGCAAGUUUCAUAUGCUUCUCAUCAUCUAAUUUAGCAAAUAAGGUCUGUUUUGGUUGGAUCAAGUUAAAAUACUCUUCCACCAUGUCAAAUGCGAUUUUCAUGAAGCAAAAUGUCGAUGAAAAUGCUUUGAUAGUUGCAUGCAAUCCCUUCUGCGACGAUCAUCAACCCGUUCUCUCUUUGGAUACAUGUGAGGAAAUGUUAAACUUGACUGAUGAUAUAGCUUAUUUAAUUGGGACCCAUGUGAAGACAGUAUAAAUAAUAGCACUUACAGACAAUACGAGUACUUUCAUGAUUACAGACAAAAGUGAUCUUAAAUAAGCAAAAUCAUAUUGAACUCAUAAAAGAGCUUGGAAAUGGAGGUACUGGGACUUCAACAGCUCCUUCCAACAUCUGAGUAAUUUUCUUCAUGGUUGGCCUCAAAGCCGGGUUUUCCUGGAUGCACCACAAUGCUAUCAUCACAAAUCUUUCCACCCUCCUCAUGUCGUUUGAUGCCUCCUCGUCACUCUCCACGAGCGAAAGUACAUUCCCUUCGAGGUAACAGUCAUACGCCCAGUCGACCAGUACAAUUUGAGCUUCAAUUUUGGCUCCCGGCUCAUAGUUCUUUCUGCAGCAGAUGAGCUCAACCAACAAAAUGCCGAAGCUGUAAACGUCUACCUUGCUAGAAAUAGGCAUAUUCCUGAACCAUUCUGGUGCUAAAUAACCUCUAGUUCCUCUAACUCCAGUGAUGGUUCGUGUUUGGUUCGCCAUCAAGAGCUUUGCUAUUCCGAAAUCAGAUAUUUUUGCAGUGAGAGAGCCAUCAAGAAGAAUAUUUUGGGGCUUGAUGUCGCAGUGGAUUAUAUGCCUAGUGCAAUAAUCAUGCAAGUAAGAGAGCCCCAUGGCAACACCACAAGCAAUUUCUAUUCUUUUGUACCAGCUGGGCCUUGAAAUGCCAAACAGAAAAUCCGCCAAAGUGCCAUUGCUCAUGAAUUCAUACACCAGUAGUCGAUGUUGACCUUCAUUGCAGAAUCCAAGCAACUGCACUAAGUUCUUGUGGUUAGUCUGGCUAAUUGCACUCACUUCUCUUUCAAACUCCUUUUCGCUUUCUCCAGUCCUUGUUGCCAGCACUUUUACUGCCACAAAGUUUGUAUCCUCGGAUCUGAGAACACCUUUGUACACCGUUCCAAAAGCACCCCUACCUAAUUCCUCUUUGAAUCCAUUUGUUGCUUCUUGAAGCUCCUGAUAAGUGAAAGUUUGCGUGCUUGUGGCUUGGUUGAUCUGGACUGGUUGUGACAACUUAGAAACCCUAGAUUGGAAGCUUCUAUAAAUGAAAUAGGUAAUGAGGAGUAGAAGCAAGCUCACAAACACAGAGGUACUCAACAGCACCGAUCCGAUGAUAAUUAGAGUGGAAUUCUUGUUUCCAUUUCCCGUAGAUUUUGAAGUCGAGUUAUUUAUCCUGACCUUGAUCAGAGCUUUUGCAAUCUCACUACGAUCCUCUCUUCCAUUGGAAAGAGGGAUCUUCUUUUUCCAGCAAGCUCUACUGUUGCCGAAUAUAGCAAGUGCACAAAAACAAUCAGCCAAACAAGCCUCUUUGCAACUAUCCUCGGUUUGCGCCGCCGUAUGCUCGUAAUCAUACAUUGGCCAAUUUGUAUUAGGCAUGUCAAAGAAAGUGAACUGGUCUGUUUCAGGCCUACUUUCAUCACAACUCUGCGGUACGAAGUCCUGUCUGCAUCCGCUCAUCUCGUUUGUUGAAUCUAACAGAGUAUACCCGUGUGGGCAGUGCCAUCGGGGCCUCUGAUCUUCUCCAAGAGAACAAUAGCUGUUGAAGCCACAAGCUCCAGAACCGAUAGUUUGCACGAUGCUUGUGCAUAUAUUUGGAGGCACUGGGGGAGAACGGGCCACCGCCCAGCCCAUUGCCGAGAGAGAACUUGAAUCAGGGUGGACAUAUUGCCUGAAGACCCCGUCGUAUUCAAGGAUUGCUCUUCGGUAAUAUCCACUGGCCGGGUAGUAUGUGUCUGAGGAGACGAUUAUGAGCACUGUUCCAUUCCUCGCCGUGAGGUACACCUGACCACUUUCAUUGAAUAUCAAUCGGAAGCUGCUAUCUUUGGUGUCGCUGAACCAGUAAGCAUCUGUGGGAUCCCACGGGUCAGGAGUGGCAUAGAAUGUGAGAUUUCCGUCGUCUCCUAGCUUGAAGUGGAAUCUCCCGGCGGAGUAAUUCAUUUCGGAGUAGCGAGCCUUAACUUUAGUCCCUUGAUCUAACUGUUGCGUAGGCAGCAACGUGUCGGUUGGUUGGCUGAACGUCUCCCACAAGUUGACAUGGUUCUGGCUAACUAGGACAAAGUUCCCUGUGUCAAGCAUGGCCGCAUACUCUACACCAGCGACAGUCGGGCUAGGAGACCACAACUCUCUUCCAUUUGGGUCGACAAGUACAAAUCGCCCAUCCAUGGUCAACUGGAUUUCUGAACCUUCUGGCGCUAGAUUAUUGCCGUUCGCUGACCAGACUAUGGUCUUGUCCUCUAUCUUCUCGAACCAUAUAGCCAACAAAUGAGCUCCUCUUCCCAUUCUCCGGAACCCAAAGGCGAACUUGCCCGACGGCGACAACCAGGAAGAGUUCUGGUCGUUCGCUGUCAACAACUUGCCCAAGGUCAAGUUGCCGCUGGUCUGAGCUUCGGCGGAAAGGGGAAGUGGAACGAGUAUUAGAAGGAUUCCUAGUAUAACUGAAGCCAUAUUUGAUGAAACAGGCGUGCUCCUUGAGUUGAGCUACUUCGGCCUUAAGGAAGAAACCAGCGUUCUUAUAGAGAUUCCCUACUUUCCAAGCUACCGGAGUCUCUCCCGUACGUCCCGUCGUUCACGGCGAGUGAGAGAGGCGACCAUUCCUCCUCCGCUUUGAUGCGAUUGCUCCUCCUUUUUCUCCACAGCAAGUUGAACCAAAGUCGUGGACAGCCUUUGCCCAUGUCAACACGUAUAUCUAUCACUAUCUACGACCAAAAACAGAACACAUACAUCUAUCCAGAAUAAUGAUUUUACCAUAUGGUCUGAAGUUUUAUAAAAGCUCCAUCUGUAAUAAAAGGAAAUGAUUGAUCAAAAUAUAAGGUGAUAUUCGUAAAUAUAUUUCAUUAAUCAACCUUUUCCUUUAACGCCACCAAAAAAAAAAAAAAAAUCAACCUUUUCUUUUUUGUAUUAAUAGACCAUUUCUUUAACAGCAAUUAAUAAACCAUUUUAAAGUUUAUAAUGAGUGUUGAUUUUUUACUUGUUAUUGUUUCUUUUUUCUUAAAGUAUUUUAAUAGUUCUAUUGAUAUAUUCAUCAAAUAUUCUUCAAAAAAUCUUAUAUUAAUAUUAUCGAUUUAAUUUUUCUGAUAAUAAUAUCUCUGUGAAUUUAUCUUUCUUCCAUUUUCAUUAUUUUUCCCUUUUUUUUAUAUAGAAAUCAAUGGUCAAAGAGAACUUGUUAAACUUAGAAUAAGGCGUCCCCGCUCCAUAAGCUUGACAGUACCGGAUACAUUUUCAAGGAAAGCACUUGGAAAACACCAAACUUCGUCGUACAUGUUUAGUUGGAGAUUCUUUGAGAUGAAAGUGAUGGAAGAAGAAGGCAGGGCCAGCAGUCGAUUCAAUUUGGAGAUUUUUUGAGAUGGAAGGGAUGAUUUUUUGAAAUGAAAGUGAUGGAAGAAGAAGGCAGGGCCAGCAGUCGAUUCAAUUUGGAGAUUUUUUGAGAUGGAAGGGAUGAUUUUUUGAGAUGAAAGUGAUGGAAGAAGAAGGCAGGGCCAGCAGUCGAUUCAAUUUGGAGAUUUUUUGAGAUGGAAGGGAUGGAAGAAGAAGGCAGGGCCAGCAGUCGAUUCAAUCCCCAUGAAUUCAAACUGACUACAGAGUUGCUCCGCGGAAAUUGAAUAUGCUCGAAAGUACGUGGAAAUUUGCAUUGAGCAUGUGACCGAUCAAUGCUUCCGGCAGCGGCAUUGUGCGGUCUUGUGCAACUUGGAGAGGAAGGAUUACAACAAUUAUGAACGAAAUUGAUUGAUUCAGCAGACACUCUCCAAAAGUUUGCAUCCAGGAAUUCCGAAUUUUGAAACCGAUAUGUUGGGCUACAUGGAUGUCACGGUGACAGAAAGAUAUCAUGCUCGUGGAGUUUACAACAUCAUGCAAUACUUACCACAUCUAAAAGCAAUUUGGUUUCCAUUUAGUAUAAAUGAUCAGUUCACAAAAAGGGGAGUGUUCCUGUAUAUAGAUUACUGCAUAAGAGGUAACUAUGUACAGUUUUCUGCACAUCUUUGAUCUUACUGUCAAGAGUCCUCUGCAACUUCAGCAUAUCAGUCACGGCAGAAGUAUUCCCGCGCCACCGUGAUAAUGCCAGCCAAAACUUCCUGUUUAUACAUUCGUCCCGCAAAUAAAUUACAACCCGCCGCUUUCGACAAUGCUCGACUAGUAAGGCGAAGGGCUAAUUUUCCAGGGUUUGUAGGGUUCGAUCAAGGGCCUGACCUUAUAAUGAGCGGCUUCCAAUAAGCUCUGUGCUGCAUGAAUGCCGCAAAAUCUGGCCCGAUCGAGUAGGAAUUUUCCUGGAUAAAUUCCCGAAUGCUCAAUGGGCUAUGCUAGAAUAGUUUUAAUAGGCGGGGAAACUGUAGUCUUAAUCUCUUCCAUCUGCUCCUAAUGAGUGUCGGGUGCAAUGCCAACACGUGCUCAGGCAUAAAAUCAUGUCUUGUCAAUAUGCCCGCCACAGGCGAUCUCUGCAAUAAAAGAGCGUCGAGAUUAAAAUAAAAACAUAGAAGAACAUGUUCAACUAGAGUUGAAUGCUAUUGCAAUAAUUAAGCACCCAGUCACAUUUAAGUAUCGCACCAAAUGCCCGCAAAAGACGAGAUGAAAAAUCAAUUGUGAUCUCUCACCACGAUCCACUCUGAUCUUCUAGUGAAACUAGGAAGCCACCAAAUGUCAAGUAGCCAUAUAUACAGAAAUUCAGCUAAAUGGAAAUUCAGCUAAACGGAGAGGAAAACAUCUUAGUGCAAAGCUGAGCUAGAGAAGCUACAGAAGUAUUUGGCAGUCCUCACCAAAAAGGGUCAAACAGGAACAUAAGAAAGAUAAUCGAGUAAAAUAAGAAAGGAAGAGGUGAGGGUGAGAAAAUCAAGUAUGUGAGGCCAAGGAAGAUGGUAUUAAUGUGAUUCUGAAAAAUGGCCCAAUUUGCUGAAAAGAAGGAAGGCAUCAGUGUUUUUCAUAUAUCGUCAAUUGCUCCAACCAAAAAGAAAAAAGUCCAUUUUGCAAGUAGAAACAGGACUAGAGCCACGAGCAAAAUCACUGAAUGAUGGGGUAGUACUCUAUUUAAAUUAACAGUAGAGUAUUUCGAUGCCAAAAGACAAAAAGAGCGAUAGAAUAGCUUUUGAUAGAAUUAAAGAAGUGAAAAUGAGAGCUUACGCCAGAGAUUUUAGGUUAUCACCAGUAGAUGUCUCAAGCCAACUUCCCGGAAAAGUAUGAGAGCCUUCGCAAGUUACAUUGUCUCCACAACCGUGUAAGGUGAAGCAUUAGUAAAAGGAUGUAAAUCCAAGAACAUCUCCAUCUCUUCUUCAGUCAAGUCUAUAUCUUCUAUCAUGUUAUAAUGACCUGAUCCCCUCUUCAUGAAGUCCUCUGCUGAAAUCUGCUCAAAGGCAUCAAUAUCCGUCGGAACUGGAUCAGACAAAAAAGCUUUCUUCUUUAAAAGCUCCAUCAGAUGAGCACGGAGAAUUAAACCAUACAGAAAGGGGGACUCUGAAUGUGGAGGUUCAUCAAUUACAGGAAACCCGUGGUGCCUUGUAGGUCGCAACACAUGUACCACAUUAUCGACCUUCUCGAUGCCAUGAAACAGCUGAAGGGGCCCACUCACUACAUCACCAACUGUUAAUUGUCUCAUAUAUGGCUCGGCAUGGGUCUCAAGGUAAGGAAAAGCCCUUUGCUUUCAUGAUAAGGUCAUAGAUGUUGCCGUUGAAAGCAUCAGCUACGGUCUUUGAAAUAAGAAGAACCACCAUCAUCAAGGGUAGCAACAGCAGAUUGUUCGUC